rnacentral:lncRNA from 1 species
ACUUACAUUCUUUUCAACAACAAAAUGAAGGAGUUUUCUUUUCGAGAAGCCAAAGCUCUAAAGCAAAAACAAAGUACCGUGUAAAUCCACCACUAAAACAUCUUGCAUAAGGUAGAGAGCAUCCAGGUGAAGGGAUGGAUCCCAACAUUAUUGAUGCCUGCAUAAUUUGCUAGAUGCACCACCAUAAACUCCCACUCUUUGGAGGAAUUAAAUGUGGUUCAUUUCUGGUUUUAAGUGAGUUGGUUCAGAUAUGAAGCAAUAUUUUCUCGCGAUUCAAUUUAGUCUUUGACAAAAAAAUAAUAUUAAGUCUCUGAUAUUUUAUACAUAUGAUAAAUUAAUCUCUGAAUCAUUAAAAAUAAAGCGCCUAAUUUAUCUUCAGUAUGAAAAAAAAUUAUGAACUAGUUUAAGUAUUACUUUUUAUUGUAAAAUAAAUUAAGUUGCGAGAAACCAAAAUAAGUUUUCACUCAUGAAUUAUUUAUGGUCAAUUUUAAGGAUAAUUUAUAUAAUCUCAAGACCAACAAUAUUUCUAAUCAUACAAUCUGAAGCAUGUGUGGGUGGGAAAAGAAACACUCUUUUCUUUUUGCAAUUAUUCUAACAGGCCCGUUAAUAUCAACACAAUACAAACGUAAAUCAUAUAGACUAUUACUUUUCCUAUCCUAUGGCCUUCUCGUACGUCUUAUGCAAACUAUGAAAAUGCCUUUUGGAUUAUAAAAUCCGGAACAUGAAUGCGUAUUCCGGAAUAUAAAAUCCGGACAACUGCGAAGUAUAAAAGGAACUUCCCCCCUCCCUCCAUUUUUACAGUUUCACUUUCACCAUUCACUCUCUCUCUCUCUCUACAUUUAGAGGAUGCUUUGAAAGAGGUGCACGAUGGGUUUACCGUCGCCGGGGAGCUACUGAGGGUGGCAGAGGUGCUGGGGGUGUAGUUAUUAGGGAUUGAUCGUAUUUUAUUUACUUUUAAUGUUUGAACAUCUUGGAUAAUUUUUGGUGAUGUAACAUUUGGAUAAUUUUUAAUAUUAUGUAAUCUUGGAUAAUUUUUAAUUACGUUUGAUUAAUGUUAUGUUUGCAAAAAUAUAUUUUGUUGAUGAUUAUAACUUCGAUUUACUGUUAGAACAUGUCAGCAACAUGUAGAGCUGUCAAAACGGGCUAGCCUAUAUGGGCCGGCCCGAAAGCCCGAAUAAAACGCAUGGCUUGGGCCUAAAAAUUGCAGCCCGUAUUUUAGCAGGGCUUUUUAGCCCAACCCAAAAAAUCCCGCAACCCGUACGGACUACGGGUAGCCUGGCAGCCCGCGUAAUGGAAAUUACAGCUUUCUUACCGUCAAAAGGAGAGGAAAGAAUGUUCAUGGCUUUCAAUUAUACAUGACUUUCAGACCAUACUUUUAUUAUAUUAUGUAUGCGGUACCUUUAUGUUCAUGGCUCUCAAUUUUUUUUCAAUGUUAAAGGCACCCUUCAUUUCUUUUUCUGUUUUGAUUUUAAUUUUGUUUAUGUUUCGUAACAAUUUUGUGUAAGUUUCGAAAUUGUCAUGUUUUUUUGUGUUUUGUUCGGAACCAUGAAACUUUAAACUGUUUUUCUUUUUUUUUUAAGAUAAAAACUAUCAUAACUUGUACUAUAAUAGAUUGACAUAUACGAUCAAAUACAGUUUUUCUUCUUUACGAGAAGUUAGGACUUUUCAGUGGCCAUGAAAUCAUAAAACUUUCUAAAAUUUGGUUCAACAACUUUAAUCACUUCAUUUAACUUGUUUGUAUUCUUUGACCUCUUAAUUACUAAAAUGAAUCAUCAGUGUCUUGGUUCCUUUUUUUUUUUUUUUUUUUUUUUUACGUUUGUGUUCAUUAAAGGAUUUUUUUUUUUAAAAAGUAAGGCGAGCUGGCUCGGGAGCCUGUAUAGGGCCGGGCUCGGGCUCAAUUAUUCCAGCCCUUAUUUAAAUAGGGAUGUUUAGCCCGGCCUUAAAAAGCCCGUUGCCCGUUCAGAUCGGCCCGAAACGGGUUGGAUAGCCCAUUUUGACAGCUCUAGCGACAUGGUAUGUCUGUUUGGAAGCAAGCAAAAUGCGCCAAAACAGAUGGCUUCUGCCUCUAUAUUGAUGCAUUCCGGAUUAUAAAUUCCAGACAGAUGUAUGAGAUUCCGAUUAUAUAAUCCGGAACCAUCAUUCACCACCCCCUUUUGUUGACUUUCAACUAGGUGAUUUACACCUUUCGGAUUUUAUAAUCCGGAAAUUCUCUAAAUUGUUCAGAUUGUAUAAUCCGGAUCCAUCUAUUCAUAACUUACAUCUUCAUCCAUCAGCAUGAUGAAGUGGCAAAAAUCGCAAAACAUUCCGGAUUGUAUAUUCUGGAAUGGUUUCAGAUUAUAUAAUCCGGACUAGGAAUGUUCUGGGAAAAAAAAUAGGGCGAGGAAAGGCAUGGGGUGGGAAAAGUAAUACUCAAUCAUAUAUAUAGAGCGUCUUCAUUUUAAUCUUUAGACUAAUCGAGAGUUUGAAGCAUAAAGCAAUUAAACACAAACAAAGUUGAGUAGAAAGUUGAAAGCAAAGAAUCAUCGUAUAAUGGCUACUCCUUCUUCCAAAUCUUCCAAAAGAUGGCUUCCUCUUGAAGCUAACCCUGAUGUCAUGAACCAGGUUUCUAUCCCUUUUCAUCCUUCAUUUCAAUCUUCUUCAUUGUUUUUUUUUUUGUUAUCAAUGUUUGAACCAAACAUAUAAUUAUUAACAUAGUAAAUUCAAUACAUACCCAUAUAACGAAUUUUGCAAAAGAAUUAAUUUUUUAUUAUUUAAUUUUGAUGUAGUUGUAUGAUACUGCAGUUAGCAUCAUGCAGCCUUCUGUCUACCGACCCUCUUUCUCUUUGGCCUCUGCACAGCCACCAGGGUCAUCUUAAAACAUUUAGGAAACGCUGUUCUAAUCUUAAAAAUUGGGUCCUGAUAUAUAAAAAGUAUCAAAUUGGCCCCCUAACACCGUGGCAAAAUCGAUGAUCAAAUGAUUAUAAUUAUGAGUGUCCGACAUGUCAGUGUCGUGUGUCUGUGCUAAUAACUCCAGCAAAACAUCAAACUUGUCCAGUAAUUUUGAUUUUGAUAUACAGAAAACAUAAUCAGACACAUCAAUUUUAAGGCCCCUAAUUUUGAGGCCAUGUGUUAAGGGCUUUGUUGCCACUUGCAGAGGGUCGGCCCUGCGCCACAUCUCUUCCACUAGUUUGGAGCCUUCCCUUGUGGAGUUGGGGGUUUGUUCUCUGGUUUCUAUUUUAUGUAGACGGUGGUUCCAAAUUUACUGGGAAAAUAUUGCACACUUUGUGUUUGUUGGAAUGUCAAAACAUAUUAUUUUGAAAAGGAAGGUGUGGGUAGAAACCACUUGGUACUGCUACCACAUUAUGCAGCCCCUCCAGCUUUCAUUUUUCUUCCGUUCAAAGGACUAAUUUUGACGUCUCUGAGAUCUUUGAUAGUCAAAAUGCGUCUGCAGUAGCCAAAAAUUUGAUCUGUAACUGGAUAGAAAAAAAAUAUUGUGGUUUUUCUCCUCUUUGUAGUUAUUCGCCAUGGGUGGAAGAUACCCUUAAGGCUUUGUUUGAGAGUUUGGAGGCGAAGGGAGGGGAGGGCUUUGGGGGGUUAAAAAUAUAUAGAAAAAUUGAUAAAAAAUUCACAUUUUUUGAAAGAACAGUUUUUUACAGAAUGAUAAACUAAUACUUAUGAUUAAUAUACUUUUAAUUUUAAGAAUAUUAUAACAACAUAGAUUGAAUUUGAAAAAUUCAUAUAAUCCCUCCAUAACCCCCCAAAACCCUCCCCCAAUACAAUUUUUGAGUUCCCCCACAUGAGGGGGAUUUUUUAUUAUGAGUAAAAAAUUAACCUCCAAAGCCCUCUCCUCCCAAUGUCUUCUAUUUCUUCCACUUGCUCCUUCCUUUUUUCCAAAACCGUUCCCUCCCCUCCCCUCCAAACUCCCAAACAAAGCCUAAGUUGGUUGUUAGGUUCUAGAUAUUGGUUUAGUCAUUCAAAUUUGGAUCUUAGUCACUCUUUGUGUAUUGCUGUUUAUGUUUGUUUAGGCUUAACUCCUAGAGUUUUUUCUUUUAAGUGUAUGGUACUACAUUGUAAUUGCGACUUUUUCUAUUGAAUGAAUUUGCUUUUAUUGUUAAAAGAAGUUAGCAUCAUGCAUGAAUAAACCCUAUAGUUGUUUUAUUUUCGGUGAGUUGCAGUUCCUUUCCGGUCUUGGUCUUCAAGAGAAUCAAGCAGAGUGCCAUGAUGUGUAUGGAUUAGAUGAUGAGCUUUUGGAAAUGGUUCCAAAGCCAGUUCUUGCCGUGCUUUUUCUAUAUCCCCUUACCACCAAGGUUAUUUUUUCAUAUUAACUUCAUUUAUGUCCCUCCUUAUCUGUGUAUUUUUUUAUUAAUUUUUUAACCAUUUAUAGUUUCUUUUUCAUCUGAUUUUAUGAGUUUUUAUUUGUUAUCAGUCUGAAGAAGAGCGGUUGCAACAGAAUAAUGAAAAAAGGGUAAGUGCACAUAUCUAAUUAUAUAAUAUUUUAAUCUAUUAUUUGUUUUAUUGAAUUCUGUCUAUGAAAUCUGGGUAGCAUAUUUCAUAUAUAAUUGGUUAUUAAGAUGAAACCCUUGAAUAGGAUUUUCGUGUAUUUUUCUGGUGUAGGAAUAUAACAACAAAGUAUAUUUUAUGAAGCAAACUGUGGGUAAUGCUUGUGGUACAAUAGGGCUUCUUCAUGCUCUUGGUAACUUAACUUCUGAAAUCAAGUUUGGUAAGUUUUAACAAUCCAAUUACCUCAUUUUUUUUUGGUGCAUUAACAAUUACAUAUCAUUUAGUUUGUGUCAAUGUUGUUAAAUAGCGGGUGCUAUAGCAUUAUUGCAAGCGGAAUUUGAAGAAUUGCUAUUAUCUGCGAUAUGCUGUAUAGUACAAAAUAUUGUGAAAUAGCGUCUAUAACAGCGCUAUAGCACUGUUGCGUAGCAGAAUUUGAACAAACUGCCAUUUUUUUGUGAUCUUCAAUUGACAACACUGGUUUGUGUUGCUUUUGUUGUUAUCAGUUGAGGAGUCAUUCUUUGAUAAGUUCUUCAAAUCUACUGCAAACUUGGACCCAAUGCAGGUUACGUGUUCCUACCCAAACCUCCUCUAUUUCUUUCUUAUAUUUCGCAAAUGCAAGAAAUUGUGACUUUUGCUCAGAUAAGCUUGAUGUUCAUAUUGGAUUUUCUAUCUUGUGUAUCUUGCAGCGAGCUUUAUUUCUCGAGAAUGACACAGAGAUGGAGGUUGCUCAUUCUGUAGCAGCCACUGCUGGUGAUACAGAGGUAUUUUUUACUGAUUGAAUUUAACUUUUGAGGUAACAGUAAAUUGGAGUGAAAGAUUUUGGUCUGAUGUGAUGUAUUGGGUAAUAUAGAUAUAACUAAUGAUAAAAGGUUCUUUUACGUCGUGUUAUAUUGAAAUUAUGAUCCUAUACAUUUGAAAAAAUCUUGCUCUUUGUGUUACUUUUUUUUUUUUUAAGAAAUGCUCUGUGUUACUUGUUUGUUGUUAUUGUUAUUCUCAUGUUAUGAUAAACUGAUACUUAUGCAGAGACCUUUAUUGAAUGUAGUUUAUAUUUAUAGGUCCUUGUAUGAUGACUGAUGAGUAAUUAUGGUGUUGUGGACUUUUUCCCUUUAGACUAAAGAUUUGAACUUAUCCUCAAAUUUUGUUGUAUGUAACUGAAUUUAUACAAAUUUGUCUCUGAAAAGUUACAUUUUCAGGGCUUCGUUCACCACGUCAUUAGACCCAAUCUUCUCUCUGUUAUCUCGUGCAUCUGUUUCACCAGUUCGACACUAUAGUCGCCACCUUGAUCUUGGCCUUCUUGCAAUCUCUAACUCUCAGAAUUUUUCUUUAGCUAUUCAACCGCAACCAUGACUUAAUAAACUCCCAAAGCCACCCUCUAGUCUAGUUUAGCACAGUCCGUCCAUACCUCGUGACUCCCGAUGAUCUCCCAAUCUAGCACCCGAUCAGUCCUCCAUACCUAAGUCCUCCCAUAUCUUCAUCUACUUCAGAAAACAGCAAAACACAAUCUGGCUCAACGAAUUUUGACGUCUGAACUAACUAUGAGUAUUGGAAAUAAUAAGCCUUUAGCCUUUAUGCCUUUCCUCUAAUUUUUCCUGUGAUUAAUGCUUAAGCACUCCCUUGCAUAAUGUGACCGAGUCUCAAAUAAUUACUUUGAAAAGGAGAAAAAGUUUUGCAUCAAGUACCCAACAACAACAAAGCUUAUCCCACUAAGUGAGGUCAGCUACAUGAAUCAAGCGACACCAUAGUCUUAUGAUUUUUCUAGAUUAUCAUUUCUAAUCCAAUCUUGUUUAGUUGUCAUUUCUAAUCCAAUCUCGUUAGUCUUACCCACUUCCAACACAACAUCCUCAUCUCUGCUACUCUUAAUUUAUUUUUUCCAAAAAAAUUGGUUGGUGGAAUGUUAUUGAUUAAGAUCAUGGUAGAUGCAGAGAAAUUGAAUACUAGUUGGGUAGUGAAUUUUGGGUGGGAGAGACCAUUUGUUAAUAUACUUGGUGAUUUCUAUUUUCCACUAAGAGACUACCACACUUUUGGUACCUACUUACCUUGACCCGAGAUAGGAGGAACGGAUUAGUAAAAACAUUUCUUUUUGUAAUUGCAACUUUCUGAGCUAUUAUACUCAUCAAUCUGUUUUUUUAUCCUGAAGAGGCAAAACUUUGCAGUAAAUGUACUGCAAAACUUUGCAGUACAUAAAACACUGAUAUUAAUAACACUACCAACCAAAAUGAAAACAAAAAUAAAGUUGCUUAUUUCAAUUUUAUUUCCUUUCGUGUAUUGACAAUGUUUUGUUUGAAAUAUUUGUGAUGCAGGCAACAGAUGAUGUCAAUACUCAUUUCAUCUGCUAUGCUUGUGUGGAUGGUAAUUUAUUUUUAUGUACCUCAAUAACAUUUUAUUCUCUGUGGUGUUUAUAAAUAGAGCUAAACAAUAUAUCAAGAUACAAUAGUAGCAACAACAACAAAGUAUGAAACCUCUUAAUCAUAGGAGCUAGCUGUACAAAGCCUAUAUCAAAACAAAUUGGGCUCCUGUACAUAUCUAUAACUAAUUAUGAGCUCUUCUCCCUUCUGCAGUUGCCUACGCAGUGUUGCUAAAUACUGGUUAUAGCAGCGUUAUACAAUAUUUUCUAUUUAGUACAAAAUGUUGCCAAAUAGCAGUUAUAGCUGUGCAAUAGCAUUGAUGCUUAGUGGAGUUUGAAUGAAUUGCUAUUUUCUUCGUUUUACAACUAACAACACUGCCUAAGUUUGUCUGAUUAAUUUCUCGUUGCAAUGUUAUUGUAUGCAGGUGAACUUUAUGAGCUUGAUGGAAGAAAGUCGGCACCAAUAUCACAUGGUCCUUCCUCACCAAGUACUUUGUUGAAGGUAAAUAUCUUAAAAUGUUAAGGCUUUAACUGUAUUGUUCCUGAAAGACAUGUAUUUAAUAAAAGGAUAGAAUUUGAUUUGAUCUGCAAACUCAUAUAAAGAGAAAAGAUACCAUGAUGUUGUUGUCAAGUGGUGCUUUAGGGUUAUGCAUGAAGAAACAAUUGUCAAUGACCAUAAUUCUGUUGAAAAGUUAUUGUUUUUAAUUACUAAAGUAUAUAUAUAUUUAAAUUUUCUGCAGGAUGCUGCUAAAGCCAUCCAGAGCAUGAUUCAGAAGGAUCCGGAUUCUCUGAACUUCAAUGUCAUUGCAAUAUCAAAGAAAUCCAGUGAUGGAUAUUAAGGCAGUCAUUUUAUUUUGGGCUUUUCAGGGUUACUUUUGAUUUUGAAGUAAUUUCUUGAAGUUAUAUGUAGUAUAAUAUCCUGGUAUUCAUGCUGCAUUUUAUUCACUUUAUGUGUCUUCGCUCAAAUUUUUAGUUAUAUUCAGAAAUCUUGUAAGCUGAGCCACUUUGAUUAAAAUUUGAUGCAGUAACAUUUCACGAUGAAGAACAUGAAUGGGAUGUUUGAAGCCAAAUCAUCCAUUUAAAAAGUUAUUUAAUCAUUUUAUCAAAGACGAAUCGUUUUCCUUCAAAGUAAAUCACGAGGAGAAACACAAUAAACUUUUUCGACCAUAGUUAAUUUUUUUAAAAAGAGUAAGAAAUAAAAUGCUUGUUUAAGUGUCACAUUUGUUAAUAUUUGUUCUUCUUUCCCCUUAAACCAAGAAAGUACAAAAGUAGUUUGCUGAUAAAAGUUGGUUCAGUUCAUAAGGAAUUAACUCAUACCCCUAUAUGAGUUUAACUUCUACUAUCAACACGAGGACUUCUUUGAUGAGUAAUUCGUAAUUUCGUAAGUAUCUUUGUUAGCGUUCCCCAAGCUUUGACACCUGCCUCUAUCUGGUUGGCCAUCAGCAUACAACUCACACCAUUUUUUCUACAUAAAAUAUAACGGUAGUAAUUUAGAGUUAUUUUUUAUUCAUUUUGUUGUUUGAUGUCUUUUACCAUUAUUGUUCUUGUGAAUCCCUCCUCCAUGGCUCCACUAUUAUCACCAUUCUGUCAAAUGUUCGAUCACCAUCAUCACCACGACAACCAAACACCUUCAGAACAAAUUUACCAGGAAAACCAAACACCUUCAGAACAAAUUUACUAGGAGCAUCUCUGACAUUUGUUUUUUUUUUUUUUUUGAAGAAUCGCAUCUACGACAUUUUAUUUAAGGUGUUAAUACCUUUUCACCUCUUCUGUUUUUUUUUUUAUUCGAGAGAGUGAUACUUGAGUUAUUAUCCCGUUUUCAAAAUUAUUAGUGAUAUAUUAUAAAAAGGGUAAUCUCAACCAAAAAAAUGAAUAAUUUUGUCUCUAAAUGUGUAGUGAGUCUUCUUCAUAAUAGUUUCUCUAAUGAAAUUAUAAAAUUGUGCAUUUGUUAGUCAAAGUAAUCAUUGAUGAAAACAAAUGCUUCUAUUUUCGAUCAAGAAAUGCUCACAUGUCCUUUCUAUUUUAACCCUCCGCAUGGUGACUCCUUAUGCUUCAACCCUCCAAGAACUCCAGAACCAUGGCAUUAAAGGAAGCAUUUUAACGUAAGAAACUACUUUGACGAAUAGGAAUGAAGACUAUUCUAUAAUUUCUUUAGGUUGAAAGACUAUUAUGAUUACUCAUUAUCCAUUACACAUCCAUAAACAAAACGACUACUUAUCUUAAAAAAAUUAUUAUGAAUUUUUUUAAAAAAUAACAUUCUAACUAAUUCAAUCCGAUUGCAAUAUAAUAAGGGUCAAACCAACUAACAAAUUGGUCGAUUUUCAAUUUCAGGUUUAUACCAAUUUUUAAAACAUUGCAAAAUAUGAAUAAUUAGAAAAUAAAGAAUAAUGUGAUAAUUAUAUAAUAAUAUCUUAAAAACAAUAAACAACUAGCAAGAAUAUAUUUGUUCUUAAAAAAAAAAAAUUGUUGUUUAAUAUAAGUUGGCUAAUCAUAUAAUCAUCUAAUACUCUAAGCCGCCUCAUUGCAUUGCGCAUGUCCUUUUAGCAUAGAAAAACACAAAAACUAAAAACCAGCUGACACAUAGCAACCUAGAGGAUAGAUUGUUCAUGAACUGAAUCCAAUUCAUGGAAAAAUAAUCUUAAAAAUGGUUUACCUAUCUUACGUCCAAACACAAGAUUAUCAAAAUCAUUUUUUAUAAAAAUUCAAUAACUAACACAAAAGAAGUUAAGUAUAUUAAGAAUAUUCAUAAUCUUUCAGUGUGUAAUCAAUUUUUUCCACACAAAUUUUUUUGUUUGCAUAAUCAAUACUCUAAUGGGUACGUUGCCUUAGCAAACUCUUGUUGUUAGGGUUGUUGUUUAAAGUACUCAUAAAAGGAAAUAUUAUUUUAUAGAUAUAACUCACACAUUUGACAAAAUAAUAUAUUCACUAAUUUUGUUUUUCCUAAACAAUGCUAUGCAAAGACACUUUUUAGAAUUGAUGUUAUAACAUGUGUUUGGUUCUAUGGUGCCAAAAUUGAUUUUGUAGAAUAAAUUUUGGUUAAAAGUAAUUUUAAUAAAAAAUUAUUUGUGUUUUGAAUACUUUUAUUUAAAAUGAGUUGAACUAUAAAUUUACGUCAAAAUCAAGUCUAGAAUAAAAAACUAUAAAUCCUAACUUCAAGUAGAAUCAACUCUAGAGUUAAAAUCAAUUCUAUUAAAUAAUAAUUAGCGAAAUGUUAACAAGUUCUCUCGAGGCACUUUUUAAGGACUUUGAAUAGUAAGUUUUUAUGAAAAUUUGUGUAAUCAAUGCAUUGAAAAUUGAAAUAUUUAACUUUUUUGAGAAAUAAUUUCUUAAUUUGGAUUGCUUAAUGAGUGCUCCGGAAACACUCGUUAACAAGACCCUAAUAAUUAAACAUGUCAAAAUCAAUUUUACACCUUUAAAAUUGUUGGUUUGCAAGUGUGAGUUAUAUGUCCCAAAUCGGAUAAAAUAGUAAAUGUUGAAAACCUUAUAAGUAAGAGGACCCAUAAACCCAUUGCCUUAAAGUUUUGGGUAAGAGUGUAGUGUCUCUCUUGCUUGAGUGGUUGUUCUAGCCUCGAUGUGGACGGUCCCCCGAACUUCCCCAGUGACCCAACAGUGAUAUCAGAGCCCCCAUUCGACGAAGGGUGCGACCGAGGCAGCCGGUCGUUGCACAGAAAGCCGCAACGGCGGUACAAGCAGCAAGUAGCUCCUUGUGCAGGAACGGCGAUACAGGUAAAGUAAGAGCGGAAGGACUCACACUUGAGGGGAGUGUUGGUUUGAAAGAGUGAGUUAUAUAUCCCAUAUCGGAUAAAAUAUUGCCUUAAGAUUUUAGGUAAAAAUGUGAUGUCUCUCUUACUUGAGUGGUUGUUCUAACCUCGAUGUGGACGGUAUCCCGAUCUUCUCCGGUAACCCAACAAAAAUUAAUUAUAAUCCCUCUAAGUGAAACCAAGCGUACUCUUAAUACUUCAAAACUUCUGGAAGCACUAUUUUGAGACUCGGGUGUAGUAAAAAGCAUAUAUUUACCUAUCUAUUAAAUUACAUGGUUGAUGUUAGACAACAUCAUGUAAUCAUAUGUAUCUAGAAGCAGCCACAUUGCACAUGUCGUUUGUAGCUUAGAGAAACACAAAUAUUAAAAAACAAGUUUACACAUGACACAUAGCAACAUAGGGGAUGAAUCUCUCGCCACUUGGUGUGGCUAACUAUUAGUAUAUGCAUCAUAUAAUAAGAGGCCGCUUUUAACAAGCCCUCGUGUGCAUGCAUCGUUUAAAAAUUGAUGCUCAAUUCUCAAUGCUUCUAUCUCGGAUUAACUGAGUCAUAUGUUCAAAUCACACAUAUUAAGACAAAUAUAUAAAUGAAGGAGUGAAAAAAAUAGUUUUAAGUGCUCUUGUUAAGAAUUGAUCAAUUCUCACUUAUUUUGGGACACUUUUUUUAUUAAAAAUGACUUAAUUAUUAUGGAACGGAGGGAGUACCUCAAAACUUCUAGAAACUCUUUGGAGACUCAAGUGUAGUGUGUGUAUACGUUUGAUCAACUGCGUUUAAAUUAUUGAAUAAGCCAUACGAAAUUUGUUCUUACUUGGGGAUUAAUUUUUUGCUUCAAAAAUGUCCUUGCUUGCACUCUAAAUCCUUGAAUAAUAGGAGAACAUGGAGAAAAGUCAAGGUCAAAGUUUGAAGUCUACGGUUGAGGAUAAUAUGCAAACCUGCAAUUCAAGGUCUACCAUAAUGUCGUAAGAACCCACGUGCGGUGUCUUUUGGCAGUUGACGCCAUGUCACUAAUUUCUUAAUUAGCUUAGACUAAUCUUGGAUUUUUUUUUUUAAGAAUUAAUCUUGAAUGAUAUUUGAACAACUUUUCCACUAUUAUUUUUACCAAUAAAAAUAAUGAAAAGAAAAAUCGACACAAAAAUUAUCAUUAAAUAGUUGUAUAACUAUUAUUAUUUAUUUGUACAAUAAUUUUGCGAUAACUUUUUAAAACACCUCUCUCACACAUUUUCAUUGUAUUUUAACUCUCUCUUUAUUAUUUUGUCCAAAAAAAAAGAGAUAUUGAAUAAAAAAGUGGUCAUAAAAUUAUUUUUUAUUGGACUUUUUAUUAACAAUUAUGUCCAAAAUCUAUAACGGUGAAAAAUAUUUCAUUUUCUUCUUAAAAAAAAAAUUAAAACAUUUCAUCUUGGUUUGGCUUUGUUUACUACACGUGUCGAUUUUUCUUGUGUUUACUGUUAGUGAACCAAAUUCAUUGGUGACACCAAUGCCCAAUUCAUAAGGGUGAACAAAGUGGGAUCUAUCAUCCAAUUAUGCUACUAUGUAAUAUUUCCAUAUUAAUAUGUUAAAAAUAAAUAUCCACAAAGGUCUAGCAGCGCAACUUGUUGUCUGCUUGCCUCCUAUUCAUGUGUAAGUAAUAUUGAUAGAAAAUAAAUUAAAUUGCAAAACUUAUUUUUGUUAAAAAUAUUUUUGGUCUUUGAGAUACAAUACCUAACCAAACUUCAGGUACUCCGAAGAAUACUCUUCAUCAAGACCUCUUCAAAAUUUUGUUUCAUAGUUGGGUUGAAAAUAGAUUGAGUCAAGUUAGACUUUAUAAUACUUAAAUCUGAUUUAUUAGAUGUCUUAAGAUCUAAGUCUGGUCUAUGACAUGUUAUAGACUUAUUUUUUCAAAUAUAAACUUGACAUUUUCAAAGUUUAUUUCAUAUGAAUAUAUUUAAAUAAGUAAUCAAAUAUAUAUUUAAUUAGACUAACGAACUAGUAAACAUAAGAUUCAAAUUUCUUUCAACCAAUUCAAUUUUUGGGUGCUUUUGUGUAACUCACACAACCUAACAUCCAUCACAUCAAGGGUUUUGUGGUUCCAUUCAUUGAUGCUGAUCUCACUUUGGGUUUGCAACUGUUCAGAGCAUUCUACGACGGUGGCUGAGUUUUGUUUUACAAUCACGCCACCAUCGUCACUUUGUCCACGUCAUCCCUUUAGAUUGGCUUCAGUAUCCUUGACUGAUCAAAAGGGCCUUGUUGAUGUAGUAUUUUUGCAUCAAACAAUUGCAAGUAUUUAUAUCGUCUCCUCAGGGACUAGUGCGAUAUUGCAGACCGUUCGACACCAAUUAUCAUUCUAAGUUAAAAGAUAAGUUGUUUGUUUGUUUUAGUAACUAAAUUGCAAAUGAUAAAAUUGAGAUUAAUAGGGCGUAAAACUUGUUAGGAUUAGAGUUCCUUGAUCGAGCGUCGCACGUAACCUAAUGAUCAUACAUGGAUUCUAGCUUUUCUUUGAUAUUAUCACGUAUCCCUCGACAACAUCAUUCGUGUCCAAACAAUAUUGUGAAAUCAAUUGUAUCAUUCAAUGGUCGAUGUCUCAAACUAUUGAAUGAUUCAAGAGUCGAUCUUAUCGUUCAAUCGAUGAUUUCUCAAUCUAUUAAAUGAUAAGAAAGCUUUAGGCUUGGAUACUCAAGGUGAUUAUCAAAACAUCGAUUCCAUGUCUAGAAACUAUGUUUUGAUAGAUGGUUAUUCUAAACCUAGAUUCAAAAGUAUUUCUCAAUCACAAUUAAAUCAAAGAUAAAGAUUAAAGUGCAAGAAUAACCUCAAUAUCAAUUCAAAUGCUAGAACCAUAUAUUUAUAGAUCAAACGAUUACAUGUUAAACUAUGAUCAAGUACCUCUAAUCCCAACAAAGGAGAUUUAGCUACUCAUUGUCAUGGAAGCCUUGCAAGAAUGAAUUGAAGAAGCAAGAUUCAUUACAACUUGUGAUGUCUCAACAAAGGAUGAAGAAUCCACUCUCUAUCACUCUCACUCUAUAAAGCACAAGCCCUAUCUCUCUCUCUCUAAGAAUAUUACAAGUGAAAACACAGAGAGAAACUAAGUGAAAAACUAUGUAAAAACUACUUUCUCUGAAAUGGUUGAGUGGGCUAUUUAUAGAAUUCUGAGUCUGCCUUCACUCGCCUCGCGAGCUGCUUCAUUCGCCGUGGCGAGUUGAAGUUUCUUCCCCAUUGGGUUUGUGCCACGUCAGCAUUUAGAGGCUAAACCGCCCUUACUCGCCUCGCGAGUCCUUCCAUUCGCCAUGGCGAGUAAGCUCGCCUUCUACUCGCCAUUGCGAGUUGGUGGCGUGUGAUCUUUGUUGCAUUCUGGAAUUGCUCGCCUUUGCUGCUUGCCAUGGCGAGUUGGAGGCGAGUGAUCUCCUUUUUCUGCCUUUUUGUACUUUUCUCGAUUUUCUUCUCUUUGCUUGAUGUCUUGAGUUCGAAUCCUGCACAAAUGGGUGAAGUAAGAUAGAUAAAGCGUAAAAGGGCAAUAAUCACUUAUUUCUCAGCUUUUCCCUUAAUAACUUGCAAAACAAGUAACAAAAGUGCCUAAAAUAUAUCACUUAAAUUACAACUUUCUAGCACUUAUCACUUGUCUUCGUGAUCUGGAUGCCUUUAUGUAUUUUAGGUCAUUUGAUGGUCAUUGAUGCAUGGUGUUGUGGAUUUCAUUGCAUUGAGUUGUUAUUAGUUCAUGGAUCUAUUUUUGUGUUGAUGGUCAGAUUCAUUCAUCGGUUUUCAAGAUUUGAAAUCAAGGUUCGAUUAAGCUCGUCUUUGGUUUGGUGCUUGUGAUCGUUAACACACCACUUUUCUUUUUUUUGCAAUUUGAUUUCGCGCUCAUAUACGAGUUUGCUUGUGCUUGUGGUGGAUGCUCGUUUUCUUAAAAUCAUGUUUACUAUCCGUUAGGGUUGUCUGUUUAUUACAUUUUAGGGUUGGUUCCACUUUUGUAUAUUUUGACAUUGUCUUCUUUUUCUUUUCUUUUUUUGACAAUAUUUUGGCAUCGUCUGUAUUACUCGUUAAGGCUGACUUACAUUUUUUCUUUGAUUUACUAUAUCAUGUUUUUGCUCUCCAAUCUUGUAUUUCCUUUCUUUAUUUUAGUCUACUUUUUUUUUGCUUAAAAAAAAACUUGCUAGUAUAACCCCUCGAAAUUGAACCUCUAAUUUUCUAGUCUCUAUCCCAACACAAAAAGUUCCCCAGUCAUUGGACUGAGAACUAACAUACGGUGACGACAUUGUAGGGACAUUGUGCAACAAAUUCUUGAUCGAACAAUGACUUCAUUUAAACUUGUUAUUUGUGGUUCAAACAUAUAAAGUGUUUGUAAUUGACUAGUCUAGUGGUUUUUUAUUGUGGUACCAAGGCAGUUUAGCAAGUGUUUUAGAUGGAAUAGUAAUGGAACUCAUAGUAGAUAUUGUUGAAUUGUUGAAGGGUUCCUCAAUGGCUGAUAGGCUGAAAUGACAUAUAUGGUUCCUAUAAUUGAGUUCGGUGUUAGAUUAUGUGGGAUGAUCGUUCAUCUUCUGGUUAAUUGUUAGCUCAAUGGUGUGUAACAUUUAUGAUUGAGAAACGAAUAUAAUUUGGUUAGUUGGAUGAUUAUAUUUAAUAACUAAAACUUAUUUGUUUUGAAAAAUAUAAUAGGGUUUUUGAGGUAGGAUGUGGUCCUUAAUCUAGGGUGGUUGAGGGUUGGUCUCAUUCUUAACAUCGGGGGAAUGAAGAAGUGCAAGGUUCGACGAGGGGUUAGGGGUUGAAGGCAGCACAUCAUAGAAAAGAUGCAAGGCUUGAUAUUUUAACAAUGGCACCGAGACAUAGAAGAUUGAGAAAAGGAGAAAUGUGAUUAGAGCAUGAAAUAAAUAAAUAAAUGAAGAAAUGAGAAAAGAAAAGGAACAUAGGAAAAAGUUUAAAUUGAGGUGAUUUGAUGGUGAAUAGUAUAUUCAGUUUGGUUUCAGGUUAAUCAAAUUUGAAUUUCCUUGACUUAAUUAAUACCCAACCAAUGAUCUCAGGUUGGCUAUUUUAGGAUAUUAACUAUUCAUGCAAGCCUACCCAAAUUUUCUAACUUGUGUGAGAUUUGUGAAAUUGAAGGGUCAAUUAACUUCUUUUUUGCGGGCUUUGUGGAAUUGUGGUUGGGUCGAGUGUUUUAAGCGAGUGUGGUUUCUGAUAAUAACGUGUCAAUGGCUGAAAUGAUUAACAAUGAUUUAGGUAUCAAAGGUGGUGGAUUGGAGAAGCUUAGGUGAUAUGUGUGGUGAGGAAUCUAUAUUGUAAAGGGAGUUUAUCAUCUGCUUAUGGAUGACAAUCUUGAAGGCACAUAUUCAUUUUGCAAAAUCAUUUAGAGUUAUGAGGUGGUUUUGUUGAAAAUGUCAAAUCUUUCUUAGACUUUUUAAUGAUCAACUGUCCCUGAAAAUUAAUAUUGUUCAGACAUAGUAUUUAAAAUUUAGAUUCACUUUUUUUGUUUUGGGGUGCGAAUGUGACGAAUCAUCUUUUUAUUUAGUGUAUUUGAUUGUCCACUAAUUACAAAUAUAUGAUAUUCUUUACCUUUCAUAUUAGGCAGUUCAUUUGAGUUCCAUACGGAUAUUAUAAAAUGGAUAAAUAAUUUGAGAUUAAGAAAAUAGGGUUAAUUAAGUAAAUGAUCUUUAUAAAAAGUCAUAAUUUUGUUUUUAGUCCAUACAAAAUAAAAUCACACUUUUUAGUGCAUAUAAAUUUUUUCAUCCACAUUUUUAGUCCGUAUAAAAUUUUUCUAUCAUCAUUUUUCGUCCCUGUCAAAAAUUUUCAUCAAUAUUUUUUAUCCCUAAAAUGUUUAAGGAAAAUGUCAUAGGGACUAAAAAAUGUGAUUUUAUUUUGUAUGGACUAAAAACAAAACUGUGAAUAUUUAUACGGACUAAAAACAUAAUUAACCCAAGAAAAUAAUAGAAAAUAGGCAAAAUUACACUUUUAGUCCCUUAACUUAAUUUCAGGUAAUAGUUUGGUCCUUUAUCUGUUUUUCAUUUCAAUUUUGUCCUUUUUGUCCAUUUUCAUAUACAUUUUCAAACUUCAAAUCUAAUAUUCUUAUGCAAACAUAGACGAGGAUCAUAGAUUUGAAGACUGGAAGACCAUAAGAAAAUAAAAUCAUGAAUUUUAAGCUUAAAAAUAUAUAUGAAAAUGGACAAAAAUGAUCAAAUUGAAAUGAAAAAAAGAUAAAGAACCAAACUGUUAUCUAAAAUUAAGUUAAUGGACUAAAAGUGAAAUUUUGUCUAAAAAAUAACCCAAAAACAAGGGCUGAGGGAGUAUAUGGUGUUAGUUUGUCUUGUCAUUAAUUAAGAUUAAUUAUAAGAGCAUAAUUAUCGGUGCUGGUAUAACAGAGCCAAAUGCAAUCUUGUCAGUGUAGUAUGAAUAAUUGACAUUUCUACCCUAUCUUUACUUUUUCACGGUGGCUCUGCAUUACUACGGUGUCUUUACCUUCCAUUCUUUACUUUUGCUCACUUUUAUUAUUUUUUAAUAAUAGGUGUGUGUUUUCAUUAUUACUUUUGGGACAAUGUUAACCGAUGCGGGGGCAUUGGUUAAGUAGUUAAAAGAGGUAAAAUUUUAUUAAAAAGUGAUGCAAUAAUUAGUUAGUCAAAAGUAACGGUUUAUAUUUCUAAGAUAAGAUUUUGGAUUCCUUAACCAAGAUAAUUUUCCAAGACCCUUACUUUUGAGGUAUAUUGUAAGAUUAGUGGGACCCAUUUAAGAGUUUUAAAAGAGUAGUAUGAAUAUUUAAAAAAUGUAGUUGAGUAGUUAAAAUAAUUGAGAAGUGGGAAGUAAUAUAAUAUAUUAUGUAAGACCCAUUUAUACUAUCCAUAUAGGUGACAUGGAAGUGGAUGCUCUUAAUUGACACCCUUUUUUUGUACCAUCCUUGUACACCUCCACGUGGUGCUAGGAAGAAGAGAGAGAGAGAGAGAAAGAGACAAACUUAAUGAGUGUGUAGGGUCACGUCGCCACAUGUCACUUUUGUGUGUAGAGGUACAAAGGAUAUAUGUCACAUGGCGUGGUUAACCUAUCAUGCUCUUAAUAAAAGAGGACACCCCACAACGCAUGCUCGACAUUUUGAUGGUAAGGUGGUUCGUGAAAAGUUUAUUAUUAUUUGAUUAGCGUGCAUUUGGGUUAUCUGAAAAACAUGAAAUAAUGUUUUUCAUGAAUCAUGAUUCAUGGAUGCGUUGUUAAUGAAUUGUUUGAUCAUAUCAAGCUAUUGUCUUGGUGUUGACGUAAAUCAAAAAUCAAAAACUUCAAUUUUCAUUUUAAAUUAAAGGAUCAUGCUAACUUGUACAUUUAUGACACAUGUUAAAUAUUUUAUAAAUGGUAAAUAUUUAUUACAAAAUUUUAAUUUUUAAUCUCUAAAAUAAUAAAUUAACACAAUUUUUUAGACAAAAUUUUCAUUUAAGUUCCUAAAUAUGUGUCCUUAUGACAUAAGUUAGCAUUUCUCAAAAUUAAAUGAGUUCCUCUUGAAUGUUUUAACAUUCCUAAUCAUUAAAUUGCUAAUCUUUGUAUUUGUUAAUGUGUUGUGGGGUUUGCUAAACUCGAUAUAGAGUUUGAUAUUUAGUUUUGACAGUUUUGGAUUUUCUUUGCUAAAUAAGUUAAACUUGGCUUGUCUUGUCCUUAUCUUUUGUUACAAUAAUGGUGGCGUUAUUUUGUUUGCAUGCAUAUUUCAUUGCAGAUUUUUUGGGUUAUACUAUACUUCUCACUAAAAAUAACAAUUGAUAUAAUUGAUCAUGGCGAUGAACUCAUCAAAAUUAGAAGGGUCGUUUCUCAUUUUCUAACCCAAUUCUUUACACAGUUUUGGAUCAUUACAUUACCAAUUAGGAAAUAGAAAAGCCAAGGUGGGUCUCAUCUCAUUUAUCACAAUUAACACAUUCAUAACUUUGAUCAAACAAAUAAGAAUUUCUAUAUUCACAAAGUUACAUCGCAUAACCCCACUUCAUUCACUAUCCUUUAAACAUCAUUAUUUCAUUUCUCAUUUUUUCAAUUUUUGUUUUUCUCCCGCAUUUUUGUCUCCCUCAUGAAUCACCAUUUUGCUACAUUUUCAUCCUUUUCCUUGGUUCCAAAAUUGUGUAGGCACAAAAGAAGGAAUAGUUGCAUAGUGCUAUACACAGUACACACAUGUCUUCGGAUAAUUACAAAUUGCAUUGAAGAAACACAACACAACAUUAACCUAAACAUUUUUUGUUCCUAGUACGGUAGAACCGUAUAUUAAGAAACCAAUAACUGUCCUCCACGUGUACAUUGUUGUGCCACUUGACUUCCCACUUGUCCUGUUUUUAAUCCACUCUGAGCUGUCAUUACUUUCUUCCUCUUCGCCGGAGAAUUACUUUCCGAUGACGAAGAGCGUUCCGGCGAAGAACGUUUUGAAGCUAUUCUAACCGGGUCGGGUUCACCGGAGUUAACCCGAAGUGGAAAAUUCAACAAAGCUCUUGACCCUCUCAUCCUAUACGCAGCUCUAUCAUAAGCCAAAGCCGCAUCCUCAGCGGUUUCAAAUGUUCCAAGCCAAACUCUAGCUCCGUUCUUCGCCGGAUCACGAAUCUCCGCCGCAAAUUUCCCCCACGGCCGUUGUCUCACACCGCGGUAGUGUUUUCCUUUCACCGGAGCAGCUUUUGGCCCCUCAGGAACCACUUGCUCCGCUGUUGAAGCUACCGGGAGGACAUUCUCCACCGGCAUAACAUCCGGCUCCGGUUUCACCGUCAUUUCUAACGGAAAAACCGAUGAGACACUUUCGGGUGACCCGACUUCGAGAGACGGGACCCACCCAACAUUUACGGCAUCGCGGAGGACGCCGUAAAGUACCAUAUCUUCAGAAUCAUCUUCUUUGAGUGGUAGUUCACCCCAAUUGUCACUUAAACAUGGGUAUAAGCUGCUGAAACUGGAGCUCCGAGAGAAAACUCGGGUAUUACCCGAAACAUUUGUUGGAGCACCGAAUAUAAAUUCGGAUUCUCCUAACAAGUGGCGGCGAAUAGAGUCUAAAAGGGCAAGAUCGGAAUCAAAAUUACUAUUUCCGUACAUGUUGUGGCCUUUGGUAAAGUUUUUGUGUUGUAAUUUGCUAUGGAGAUUGGAGAGUGUGGAAGGAAUGAAAUUUUCGUUUUGUGAUGUUUUUUAGAGAGAGGGUUGAAUUGAAUAUUCGAAGUUGAAAUGUUGAGAAUAAGUGAGGUAUUUAUAGGAAUGUAGGUUCAUGAAUUUGGAUAUAAGGUAUUGAAUUUUUGGAUUUGAUAUUUUAUUAAAGUCUAAAUGGGGAUGGUGACUAUUAUUUUAUUGGGAAACCAUAAUGAAUUACAUGGACUAACUAAGGUUCGAUGAAGUUUCGCAUGUGUUAAAAGUUGCCCAAGUGGGAGAGGAUUUUCAUCACGUGGUUAAUUUAUCUUGCUUUUCUCAUUUUAUAAAAUUAAUUUUCUUGUCCAUUUUCCGCAAUGGAAGUGUAUAUGUGUGACGUCAUUCAUCGUUACAACUUGCUGCUCUCUUUGUCAUCUUUCUUGUCCAACAAUUGUCCCUUUCAAUGUCUCCAAAUAAUCUUUCUUUUUGUUGGUAUUUAUCGAUAAUUUUGUCCACUCAAAUUUAUUAAAACAAUACAUCUCCGUUACUAUAAUUUUGAUGUGUAAAUGCAUGACCCCUAAAAAACAAAAGUGUAAAGGCAUGACUAAUGUCAUCAAUUUUCUGAAUAUAUACAAUUAUAUAUUUAUAUUAUAUAUAUCAUUAAUGAAAAGUCAAUUUACUUGAGUUUGUUUGUUAGUCAUGAAUUGAGAAUUUAGAGCAUAUUUUUCUUAAGAUUUUGAUUUCGAUUCUCCCAGAUAUUAUGAGUUAAAGAGUUGAUAGGGGUAAUAUAGAAAAUGUGAAUGUGGACUUUAAUAAAUAAGAGAAGACCAAGUGAAAAAUGCAUGAAAAUUAUGAUGUCAUAAUCAUCUUCUUUUUUAUCUGAACUCUCUUUCUUUAGAUUCUCUUUAAUUCUUCCUUCUUUAUUGGACUCAUUCAAGUUUAUGCAUUAGCUAUCAAACUUAUUUUACUUCAUCAAUUCAAUAAAACCAUUUAAGGAUUCUACUCGGUUUUAAGGUCUUACACCAGAUGUCGAUGAUUAGCAAAUGCAAGAUGAACUACAACAUAAGAACCCAAAAUUUUAAGAAGGCCCUAGUUAAUUGUGUGUCUAUAGAAAGAUAUGAUGGGAUAAAUUCUAUUUAUAUUUUCCAAUAUUAUUUCUCCUAUAAUACAAUCGUUUCUAUUUCAAUGUGAUUUGGACAAUAUGAUAAAAUCGUAAAUACAAUAGUUUAAAUGAAUGGUGUGACGGGAUAUGUACAACAAAAUAUAGCAUUCCUUCUAUAUAUCGUAUAGAGUUAUUUACUUCUAAACUAUAUUUAUGGACAUCUCAAUUUCCUUUAUAAAAUUGAGAGGAUUUUAUUCUUAACUAAGGUUGAAAAUAGGCUAUAUCGAUAUAGAUUUUGUAAGUUAUAAGUCUCACUUAAUCAUUAAAUGUUAAAGUUUGACCUCCUACCCGGAACUUAUGUUAGAGCCUAAGUGUGAUUUUUUGUAAGUCUUGUAUAAGACAUGUUAGUUAUUUAAAGACCUAAUUCAUAUUAACAUCUUUAAGUAAGUAUUUGACAUAAAAUUAAGUCAACUUAAAAAGCUAAUAUCUCAAUGAGAUUAAGUUCUAUUUUAAAAUUUAACAUGAGAUUUCGGGGCUAUGACUUUAUUUUAGUCUUUUUUUAUUUAGGAAUUUGUAUAUGACAACUUAUUUUAAUUAUAUUUUGUAAUAAUAUAUUUAAAUAUGCCCAUAAUUUUUUUUUUGAAGAAGAAAAAAUGAAAUAUAUUAACAACGGCCGCGAAUCCCCUAAAGCAUAAGAUGUGCUCAAGAGGUCGCCCCAAAAAACAAGUUGUCACUGUACAAAGAAUGAAACAAAAGUUAGUCAAUACCCAAACAAAGUAACGGGUCUGACCACCACCUUUGAGUACCUAAUGCAAAAGAAAUGUUAUUGGCUUUUAGCCACCACAACGAAUUAAACUUAACCUUUUCCAACAACUGUAUCGUGGAAUUUUGAACAUUAUUGAAAAGUCUGUUAUUCCGUUCCGUCCAUAGAAUCCACACUCCAAGUAACCAAAGAAGCUGCAUAAAAGAUCUUCGUAUCCUUGAAUAUCCUAAAGCAUAAGUAAACUGCAGAAAAUGGUCACUAACAGAAUACGGAUCAGCUCCAGAGACACCUAGUCAAUGUCGUAUAUGUUGCCAUAAAGCUCCAAAAGUAUUGUAAUGAAAGAACAAAUGAGGAGCCGUUUCAUCGUUUCCACACCCCGUGACAUAGUACUUAGCCGUAGGGUGGAUAAUGCCCCGCCUUAGCAGAUUGUUUCUUGUUGGUAGCCUGUCCCGCAAUAGUCGCCACGCUAGGAUAGAGACCUUCGCAGGUACAUGUUUAUGCCAUACAAGCUCUCGAAUGUCAUCAUCUAUCUGUUGCACCUGGUGUGCUAGAAUAUGAUAUGCCCCGCGCACAGUAUACCCACUCGAAGUGUCAGGAAGCCACUGCCACCUGUCAGAAACAUCAGUCUGCACAACAAAAUCAUCAAGUAAACGGCGACACUCGCCUAUCAUCUGCUCCUCCCAAUCCCACAAACGCCUCCGACAACCCCACACAGCACCCCCUUCCUCCCACCCAAGAGAGAACAUCUCGGCCACUGUGCUCGACUUAUAGAUUGAUAAAUCAAACAGGCGACUAAAACGCCUACACAAUGGAACAUCACCUAACCACCUAUCCUGCCAAAAUAGAGUAUCAGUCCCUGACCCUACCCAACUCGCCACCCUAUCUGCAAACCAACUCCCUCCUACAUUUCCUACACCAUCCUUAAUUUUCGCUAACUCUCUCCACCAAGUAGAAACACUCCGGCCCCCAACCUCCAACCGCCCAGCCUCCUCACCAUAAAUAUGCCCAUAAUUAAUAUAAGUUAAUAAAAACUUACCAUUAAAAGUAAUUAAACAACGAUCUAAGUUGUAACGAUCCUCUUAAUAUCUUAAAAUAAUUGUGAAAAUUAAUUUUCAAUGAAUUGAUUUUUUAUAAUUGAUCCUCAUAAAAAGUGAAUUGAAUACUAAGUUAUUUAUGUUUAAAUAUAUUUAGAUAAAAGUGAAUUCAACAUUAAAUUCAAGAUAAAAAUUAAUUGUAAUAGUCAAAAGUUAUAAAUUUUAUCUUCAUGUAGAACAAUUCUAUAAACAAAAUCAAUUAUACUUUAAAAUAUGUCAAAAUCAACUAUACUCUUUUAAAAUCAAUUUAACCAUUUCAAAAUUGAAACCAAACUUAUUUAGUUAAGUGUAGUAGAACAUUAAAUAAACAAAGGGAAAGGGAAAUGGGGCGACGAAAUUGGAGAAUAGGACUAUGAGAACGACAUUUAUCAAGCAAAACGGAUACAAAGAUUGUGGACACAUUUGCAAGUUUGCAAUGGAUAAGUAUCUUUCAAAUUCAAUAGGCCCCCACAAUGCUCACAAUUUGCAUUUAUGCUUUAUGCUUUAUACUGCCUUACCCAUGGAUUCCCACGAAUUGCAAUUCGACAAACAAAAACUUACCUUUUGAUUUCUUGUCAUCAUUUGCUGUUAACAACACUAUGCAAAUAUGUAUGAUCAAUUUAGUAGCCAAAUUGACCAUUAUUUUAUUCCAUAAUUAGGUGUCGACACUGACUAAAAACAGCUAUAAUCUUAUGCAGUUGCAUAUUGAUGUGAACGGGGUUGAGUUGAGUUUAGUUGCUUGCUAUGGCCGCAUAACUUGGACGUAAAUGAGUGUAGGUAGAUUCUCAACCUUUUUAUUUUCAAAUUUUAUAAAAUACACAAUUAUUAAACUAAAUAGUUGAAUGAAUAUUUUAGGUAAGUUAAUUGUCUAAUCGAUUCAUAGUAGUAUUAACAUUUACCUUUUUUUUGACAUGGUUCAAAGUCCUUGAUGCACCAUCCCAUAGAAAGCUUCUUGCUAUUUUGUUAAGCUAGUUGCACGCAUUAGUAGAGAUAUGAUGGAGUUGCAUCUUCUUAUAUAUUAAAGUUAAUACAGAAGUAUAUUUUAGCCCUAAUUUUAACCUAAACCUAUUGCAUAAAUUUACUAUUUUAACCCUGAUGUUAAAUUCCUUGUUUAACCUUAUUGAAUUUCCCCCCUUCUCAAUUUCUCGAUACAUCUUCUUAUCUUCUUAUAUAUUAAAGUUAACACAUAAACAUAUUUUAGCCCUAAUUUUAACCUAAACCUAUUACAUAAAUUUACUAUUUUAACCCUGAUGCUAAAUUCCUUUGUUUAACCUUAUUGAAUUUUCCUCCUUCUCAAUUUCUCGAUACAUCUUCUUAUCUUCUUAUAUAUUAAAGUUAACACAGAAGCAUAUUUUAGCCCUAAUUUUAACCUAAAUCUAUUGCAUAAAUUUACUAUUUUAACCCUGAUGCUAAAUUCCUUUGUUUAACCUUAUUGAAUUUUCCCCCUUCUCAAUUUCUCGAUACAUCUUCUUAUAUAUUAAAGUUAACACAGAAGCAUAUUUUAGCCCUAAUUUUAACCUAAACCUAUUGCAUAAAUUUACUAUUUUAACCCUGAUGCUAAAUUCAUUUGUUUAACCUUAUUGAAUUUUCCCCUUUCUCAAUUUCUCGAUACAUCUUAUAUAUUAAAGUUAACACAGAAGCAUAUUUUAGCCCUAAUUUUAACCUAAACCUAUUGCAUAAAUUUACUAUUUUAACGCUGAUGCUAAAUUCCCUUCUUAUAUAUAUGUUCUUAUCUUCUUAUAUAUCUUCUUAUAUAUUAAAGUUAACCCGUAAGCCCUAAUUUUAACCUAAACCCUAUUGAAUAAUUUUACUGUUUUAACCCUAAUGCUCACACCUAAUCUCCUAUUUUCAUGAACAACCCUAAUGCUCACACUUAAUCUUCUUAUAUAUUAAAGUUAAUGUAACGUCCACUUUCGUUUAAUUGUUUAAUUAAUUGAGUUUAGGCUAUUAUAUUAUAUUUAUAUAAUAUAUGCAUGAUUUUGGUAUGUUUUGAUGAUUUGCGAUGAUUUAGAUGAUUUGAUUGAUAAUGUGAUAAGUUAUGAGUUGAAGGUUUUGAUAAGGAUAUGAGACUUAUUUUAUUGUUAAAUAAAAUAAAGAUUUGAAAAUAAUAUAAAAUAUUUAGUUAAGGGUUGUUUUGAGAUUUUAGAGAGUUUUGGGGGAGAAAGUGAGAUAAGAUAAGAUAUUAGGAAGAGAUAUAAAUAGGGGAAGACCUAAUUGUUAGAAAAACUAUUGUACGUGAAAACUUUUGGAAAAUGGAGAAAAAGCUUAGAAGGGAGAAGAUCAAAGAGAGAGCUGCGAUUUCUUCAUAACCAGGUAAGGGUGAGACUAAUAACUCAGUAAUGUUAAUUGAUUGUAAUUCUGAUGAUUAGUUAGCAAGCUUUAGGAUUGAAUUGGAGAAAACGAAAACUAGGUCAAAUCCCUAGAAUUGAUGAUCAAACGGUAGGAAUUGGUUAAAUUGAUGUGGAAAGUGCUCCUGGACCGGAGAUAAUGUUUAGGACGAACUUUGGAAUCAACGUUAGGCUUAGAACCAUGUGAAUCGUUGAAUUUUUGUGAAAAUAGCAAGUCUGGCCGUAGCGACAUUCAUCGCUCGCCACAACGAGCUAUGAGUCUCGCCUCGCGAGUGAUGAACAUUCAUCGCUCGCCUCGCGAACCCUUUUCCCCCGCCUCCCGAACCCUUUUCCCUCGCCUCGCGAGUUGCACAAUGCAGCUCGCCAUAGCGAGCAACCUUACUCGCCAUAACGAGUUAGGGCAGAGAGCAUGUAAGAUUUUGCAAUUUUGACAUUUUAGUUGGACCUUGAGUGCCUGAACAUACCUAGUAAUGAUUAGGAGUGAAUGUAGGACAAGAUUGAACCUAGAACAACAUUAGUUGGGAAGUUCGCUUGUACUCGCCAUGGCGAGUAGAUACUCUCGCCUCGCGAGCACUUCCAGAUUGGAGUGCAUUGAGUGCUUGUGCGAUCUGUGUCGCACGUUUUGAUCAAGAGUGAACCCCUGAUUGGUAAUGAAACCUAAUGAUGACGUUUAAUGCAAUCUGUAAGGCCGUUUAAGAUAUGUUGUUAUUAAUUGAGUAUGAGAUAAUGUAUUAUGCAUUAUGUAAGAUAUGAAUGAAUAAUUAUGAUGCUAUUGAAUUGCAAUUGAUAUAUUGAUAUCAUCCGUUAUUGUGACUUGACUAUGUUGCUGCGGUUAUUUAACUAAGUGCAUAAUGUCUAUAUAUGAUGAAUAAGAUGACGUUUAGCUCCAAAUUAUUGGAUGCAUAUUGAUAUGAUGAUUACGAUGUUUUGUUGAUAGAGUCCAUGCAUUAGCAUUCAUUGAGCUUAGUCCUCACCAUGAUAGGAGCUUUGUCUUCCGCACGAUUAUUAGGAGCUUUGUCCUCCGCACGUUUAAAGUAUAUUAAUACUUAUGAUGACGAUUGGUACCACAUGCAUAUAAGGAGUCUAAGAGCAUUGUCGCAUUGUCGUGUCUAAGAUGUUAUGUUGUUGAUGAUGAUUGAAUAUGUGAUUACGUGAUAAUUGUUUAUCAAAUAUGCAAAGUUGUUUAAGAUUGAUAUGAUGUUAAUUAUGAUUCAAAUUACUUUGAUUAAUAUUAAUUUGUUAUGAAAUCUCACCCCUUCUGCUUGAAAAUGUUGCCCUUCGUAUGGGUAACUUGCAGGUGAUCGUGCUUAGUGUGCAGUUGCCGUCGUGAGUGGCCUUGCCUUCACUGUGUCAUCUAGGUCGCUCUGAUACGUAACGGGAUGGGGCUAUAUGUUAUGCAUGCUUCGUUCUAUUACGUGAAUAAUAUGCUAUUUGUGAUAUUGAACUAAACCUUUUGAGAUUAUAUUGAUGGGGCCUGCGUGCCAAAACGUUUUAUGGAUUAUAAUAUAAUUUCCGCUGCAAUGUUUAAGUUAUUUGGUUAAAUUGUUAUUUAACUGUUUUGGAUUAUGUUAAAUGUGAUAUCCCGUUGUUUAUGAUGUUUACUCUGAUAAAUGUUUAGAAAUUUUUAUGUUGGGAAAACGGGGUGUUACAGUUAACCCGUAAGCCCUAAUUUUAACCUAAACCCUAUUGCAUAAUUUUACUGUUUUAACCCUAAUGCUCACACAUAAUCUCCUAUUUUCAUGAACAACCCUAAUGCUCACACCUAAUCUCCUAUUUUCAUGAACAAAGCAAAUCGGCAUCGCUUUAUUUCCCCUAUUUCUUCAAAACAAAUCGCCCUAUUUCUUCAACAAAAUAAAUCGCCAUAUUGGAAUAAAAGGGUUUUGAAAGAUUAUAGCAAUAUUUUUUUUUUGUUAAUAUUACAAACAGGUGGAAGAAACAUUUCAACAAACAGUUAAAGGGUAUCAUUUACGCUAAAUGUCAAAUAUUCGAUAAAAGGAAAAUUAUUUAAAUAAAAUAUUUUACAUGUUGAGGUUAAGAAUGAGCUAUUUUUAGGUACAUAAUAUAACAUUAACAUAUAAUUUUUACAAAAUAAUGAAGUAACAUUUUGUCAAAAAAAAAAAAAAAAAGAUGAAGUAACAUACCAAUAAUAUAACAUUGACAUAUAAUUUUAACAAAAGAAUGAAGUAAGACACGAUCGAUAAAAAUUAAUAUUUUUAAGGUGAAUAAGUGUGGUGUCUGAGGUUCGAAUUUCAGCAUCUGCAUAUAUUUGGGACCACAUGUUUUAUUCUCUUUGAUAUGCAUUGAGAUUUGUUUUUGUCUACUAUAUCUACAAUGUAUAUGACCCGUACGGCAGCACGGAUGGAAAGUCUAGUUGUAUAUACUAAAAUAGCCGUAGUAACAAGUUUUAACCUAACAAGCCCUACCGACUUUAUGAGUAUACACAUCAAUGAAAAUCAAUGAUUUCUCGUAAGUUGAUUUCUCAUAACAUAGUGUUAGCUUGAUGAAAAAUCAAUGAAAAUAUGUUGUCAAGUUGAUUUUUCGUCAAACAAACAACUAAGAAAAACCACAACAAUUUGGCAAGUUAUUUCUUGCUACACAUAACUCCUUUUGACGAAAACUAGUGACAAACUUGUAAAUCUCAUUUCUUGCAAAACUUGAACUCAUAAUUUUUUUUUAUGAGUAUAAGAUCACCACACAACUCGUUAUAUUUAUAUAAUCUACUUAUUAGACAUUGUUGUUAGAAGUGGUACGUAGAUUUUAGACAAAAUUACUUUCGCAAUUUCUUAACCUAUAAUUUCUAGUUUUAGAUUAACUAGUAAUUUAUCGUUUAUUUUCUAAAGUAGUCCUUUGUGAUAUAAACAUUAACUCUGUACUGUUUAUAUGUCUAUUACCUAGCACAAUCACGCAACAAAGCAAUAUCUCACUAAGUGAGGUUGACUAUCUCCUAACACGGUCAUCAUUUUUAUUAAAAGAACAGUAGGGUUCUUUUCAAAACUUGGUAUUGCUAAUUUGGAGAUAUGUAAGCAUUGACGAGUAUUGCCAUAGAAAACUAGAAUUUUAGAAAUUAUAGAUAAGAAAUCGUGAUUAACAAGCAACUUACCAGCAUUUUUGGCUAAAACUACAAGAGUUCUAUUCAACAAAAAAAAAUCAAGAGUAAUUUAUCCAAGUUUUAUAUCGAACAAAAAAUUGUAAACAGAAAUACAGUCCACGUAACAUAACUAACAUAAGCACAGCAAAGCCCUUGAAGCUGACCAUUGACCGUAACAAAGUGAGACAUUUGACUUUGACUUGAAAAAUUCUCAAUUAAAAUAUUAUUGUCAAGCAUAUACUUUUUUAAUUACAAAUUAGUCACUACGUGCCAACUACCAACUCGUGCGGAUCACCGCAAUCUUUGAGUAUUCCUCUUUUUUCUCUGCUGUAUAUAAAAAUUGAUAUGAAACACAUACACUAUUUGACGUAUUUCGAUAUCCGACGUUGGUACAAUACCAACAUAUAUAAUUACAUUAAAUUAUUUAAUUUUUUAAGUUAUUAUCAAUGUUAAUAUAUCAGUGUUUGAAAUCUGUGUCUGUAUUUGAGUUUCACAUAUCUACACUAAAAAAACAAAUUAGUUUGAACAUGAGAGGCCCACAAUGGAUUAACCUUUUCUUUUACCUGAUGAACUUUGAAAUUGAAAACAGACAAAAAAAUAAAAAACUAAAAAUGUUCACGUGCGUGCUGAAAGCGAAUCAUAUUAGCAAAUUAGCAAUUGAAUUCCUAAUUUGAUUGAAUCAUGAAAAAUAUAAUAUCUUAAGUCUGCAUAGUUAUUAAUUUAAGAGCAAGUUGUUGAAUAUUCCAACUAAACAGUUUGGCCAUAUCUUUGCAAAGUUACGUAAAAUAUUUUCAUUCAAACAAGUUGAAAUUCUUUUCAAUAUAAAAAUCUAUCUUUAGAUCAAGUUGCUUAUCUUUUAAUAAUUUAUGUUUUCGUCAGGACCCUCUCUUUGGAACUGUGUUUUGAAAGCUAAAUAAUUGAGGGGAUGCAUGUGUUUUUCUCCAAUAGUAGAACAUAUUUCAAAGUAAUUACAUCAGAAUUAAUAAUGCAAUUCUCUAAUGGUCAAAUAAACAAUAUUUUAAAUCUAGCUAUGAUUGAACUAUGUAACAAACUAAAUUCAUUAUUGAUUCAGCUCUGGAACUAAUCUGUAAAUAUUCUUGAUUUCUUUCUUAAAUUCUUCAAUUCACAAAAAAAAAAACUCACAAUAAAAAUUUAAAAAGUCGAAACUAAGAGUUGGUUAUAACAACAAAGAAACUCAAACGCAUAAAUAAUGAUUUCUUUCUUAAAUUCUUUAAUUCACAACAAAAAAUUCAGGUUAGAAAUUUAAAAAGUCGAAACUUAUAGUUGAUUAUAACAACAACAAAGAAAAUCAAACACAAAAAUAAUAUAUAUUGUCAUAUUAAUGUAUAGAAGAUGUUAAAUAGGUUUGAAUCUAAUCUCAAAAGGUAGCUCAAAGGAUAAGGGGACUGAAAUAUAUUUAUACAUUCAACAACCUGGGAACCUGAACAACAAAAUACAAACAACUUCAAAACCAACUUCAACAUCCACCCUCAUAUCUGGCAUAUAACUGAGUCCAAUUCUAACAUCGCAAUCCUUAACCCAAUAUGAUACCAUAUUAACAUAGAUAAUCUUACAUAACAUUUGAAAAGGAAUAAGAGAAUAAUCCAUGGAAGUUAGAGUUUCAAACACAUAACAACAAAGUAUAAAUGCAUUGUCUUACGAUAAGAAUAUACUCCAUCUAUUUUACAUGAGAAGUGUUAUUUGAACAACCAAUUUCGUGACUACUUAUUUUACAACCAUAAUUUACAAAGAAAAAGUAGUAUUGGCACAAAAAUCAUAGCAAUAAAGUGAUAAAGAAAAAAAUAAUUUGAGUAUGAUAUAGAAAGUUGUUACAAAAGUUGUCAUCAAAUGGAUGUUCAAUUAUCAUUUCUCAUUUCACAUUGGUUAAUGUUUAAGAUUUGUGUACAUAUAUACGUAAAAGAAGUUAAUAGUGUUUGAAGAUUAAAAUAUAACGAAUUGAUUAUUUGGUUCUCAAUUUCUUUUUUCAUAAAUUGUUUUAAGAAUUUUUAAUUAACUUAACUAAGAAUAUAGUUAAUUUUUUUUUAUUAAUUGUACAUUAAUCGAUUUCUAAAACAUCUAUGGUCUUACUCAUACAACCAAGUAUUUCCUCUCAAAAAACAAGACCAAGUAUUUUUUGCGUCAUUUUGUAGAAGACAAUCAAAGCAUAUAUAUUAUUUUGAAUCGCAGGUCCUACAGCUUUAAGGUAGGGUUGCUCUGUUUCCUUUUAGUUCCUGGUUAAAUUGAUAUUUUCAUUUAAAACAAAAAUAAUAUUUCAAUUCCUCCCCAAAACUAAUAAAUUUGCGGCUCAAAGCCUCCACAAUUGUAGUGGACAAGGCAGCUAGCCAAUGUCUGUCAAUAAAAAUACUAAUAGCUGAAUUAUUAUACUAUACAUUUCAAUUUUUAGUAGAUUCUUAAAAAAAAAAAAAAAAGUUAGUAGAUCAUUAGCAAAUAAAAAACUAUUGCUGUAUAUAUAGUGGCAUAAUCAUUGCUUCUUCUUUUUUGUGUUUCAAUGAAACAGCCAAAAUACUUAAUAAUAUUAAAAAAUAAUUGUCCAUCCAUGCAUAAUUCAAUUGACAGAGACAUUGAAAUAUAGUAAGGUCAGAGUUUGAGUCUCAUAUUUCGCACUUAUUUGUCUUAAAUAGUGAGUUUAUAGUCACUAAAUUUCUUGACAAAAAAUAUAUUGCAAAAAUACUAUUACAACACAUAGGCAUUUGAUUAAUGGUUUCCACUUCUUCAAUUUGCGAUGAAUGAUUUCCGUAACUAAGUUAUUUGAUUAAUUGUUUUUUGAAAUAUGUAAUCUAUAAAAGAUAUAUUGGAGUUCAUAAAUAAAAAUAAAACAUAAAGUAGUAAAAUACUUCCCUUCUUCACAUUCUCUUGAUUUAUCCUAUUUAUUGAAAAUAAAACAUAAAGUUGUAAAAUACUUCUAAAAACAUAAAUAAAAAUACUAAUUUAUUUAAUAAACCAUAACAAUAAAAUGGGUAAAUACACAUCUUAUCAUCCUUACCCUAAUGUAUUUGAUUGUUCCUUCCUCGCUUGACUUAUAUAUAACUUGAAAAUCUUUGAAUUUGAGUGAAAACUAAAGCAUAUGACAAAUAUGUGGAAGGAAGUUGGUUUAUAAUAAAGAUCACAUAUAUCACUUACUCAAUAAAUCUAAUAAAUAAAUUUUUUAUUUUUAAUUGUGAGCGAAAGAUGCACAUUCUUGAUUUAUUUAUUUAUUUUUGGAAUUUUAGAUCCUCUUUAGUGUAACUUCUCCUGAUAUUGGUCUUGCCAUCUUCCCAUCCAUUCAUCUAUGUUUUUUUCUCUCUCUUCUCAACCAAUUUAUUCUUACUUUUUAAUUUUCAUUUUUUUCUCAAUUGUGCACAAGAGAGAUAGCAGAGUAUAAUUUGCAAGAUACAUACGAUUCCCUUUUCUUGCCACGUUCGUUCAAUAGCUAAUUUGAAAAUAUUUUGUAACUGCGCCAUGCAUGGUCGGUUAUUCUAUAGUGCACCAUCAUUUAAUUGGAGUUAAAGACGUCCAUUUAUAUCAACUUAUGUGUUUUUGUGUAUUUUUGUAUAUAUACUGAUAUAACCAACAUAAGCUAAAGACUUGGCAAUGUUGUGCAAUUGAUGAAGCAUAUUGUUCAAUUCUCUUCUUAAAAUGAUUUUUAAAUGAAGUGUUUAGGUCUUUUGUUUUUGGUAUGCGCAAUUGCUUUAAGGUUUUGGGUGAAAAUGUUAUGAUCAACUCAUUUAUACGAUUGUCCUAAGUUUAAUGUAGAUGAUCAUUCGGGCUCCUCUUGUAACUCAACAUUGGUAUCAGAGCCGGGGUUCUUCGAUCUUCUCCUUGUGUCGAAAGUCUUCAUGAUAAGGUGUCUAGACGGCGUGUUCAGUUGUAUACAGUUAAGAACAUUACUAAGUUAUAAGUCUCACAUUGCUUAGAAAAGUGGUGGCCUUAAGGUUUUCUGAUAAAAAUGUUGUGUCAAACUCACUUGGGUGGUUGCUUUGAGCCAAAUGUAGAUGAUAGCCGGGCACCCCUCGUAACCCAAUACAAGAGGGUUGCGGAAUCCUCGUCGCGUUUCUCGGUGGAUCGGUGCCUUUCUAGUUCUUCUUGAAUUGGACCUUUUGUUGGGACGGUUGCGGUUGUUUUUGCUUGUGUUUGUAUUUUGUGUUAGGACUUGUUUAUUUUGUAUUAGUUUUCUUUCCUAUGUGGUUUCUCUCCGUCGUUCUAUGCAUGGUUUUCCACCCGGCUCUUUUGGUUGUGACCUCUUUUUUUUUGGUUCUGCUUCCCUUGUAAUGGGUUGAAGUACAUUUUGUAUUUCCUUUGUUUUUUCUUCUUCUUCUUCUUCUUAUAUAUGUCAUUUAUCAUUAAAAGAAAAAACAUCUUGCAAUAUUUGUGUAUGUACGAAUAUAUCUUACUAGUUUUUUUUUUUUUGAAGGGAAUCUUACUAGUUUUAUUGAAAGUAGAAGUCUGGUAAUUUGAUUAUCAUGUGAAUAACCUUGAGUUCAUAUUAAUCGAGUGACAAUUUCAAUCUUCCAACAUAUGUUUUGAAAGUGUCAACUAAAAUUCUGAACCAUAAAUGUCAUGCUCCAAAAUUCUACUUGAAGAGUUAUAGGUCAACUCAUAUAAACGUCCGAGAAUCAUGUAUGAUCAUGAAGACAUAGUCGACACAAAAGUUACGUUGAUUAUUAUGAUAUAUUUGAAGCCAAUAAUGGAAUUAUAUAACUAAUCUUUUAUCGUGUUCAAGACUUGGCAAUAAUUUAGUCUUUACUUACUAUCUUUCUGUUAGGAUUAGAAUUUCAAAAAGGAAUGACCCAGAUCGGGUUGUUCUCACCUAUAGUAGUGGUCCCUAACACCUCAAUUAAUAUACAUAAGAGUGGUUGAGUUUGAGACAGGCUUGAAGAAGCAAACAAAUGGGGUGACUUAUGGAUCAACCGGCAUUGACUCCUUCACCACCUUUCAUUUUUUUAAAAAUUGGAAUAACCUAAUUAGGGUGUAAUUAAGUAUUUUACAAACCAAUUCUGAGUGAAAUUGAACUUAGAUUCUUUAAACAAGAUUUCAUAUUUGAGUCUUAUGAAUAAAAAAAGAGAAAUGUUAACUAAGCGGCAUUAAUUAAGGACCUUAAAUAGUAACUUUUUAUGAAAGUUUGUUGUUUUUGUAAUUUGAAAAUUACGACAGAGCUUUGAAACUAUUACCGGGGUGAGUCACGACCAGGUCGCUUUCUUUAAGACGUUUCGCGGCACUACCUAAGUUGUGCAAGGUAGACUAGCAACCGCGCCGUCUCCAGGAUAAAACAGCACAGAUUCUAACUGUACGAUUAAAGGCUGCACUGCCAGAAAUCGCUCGAGAAUAACACCUCAAUAUGGUUUCGAAAAACCACUCUAAUAUGGUUCGCAGACCACUCGAGAAACCAAAGAAGGAGGAAGAAAAGAACGGUUCGUCAACACAAACCGAUGGAGAUGAGGGGGAGAAAACCAGAGAAGAGGAUUCGAUUCUCGGUUUUGGAGUGAAGAAUCCCAUUCCCGAGCUCUCUAUUUAUAGAGGGGAUUUGACCUCGUUUUCUCCGCCGACCCGGUUCGCGACCCGCCAAACUUAGCCCACGACCCAGUAAACGGUAACCCACGACGCGGAAACGUGGAGCUGAAGCUUACGCAUGUGGAAAACGUGUGAGACUUGGUCCUCCGCGUGCAGGAAUCUCGGAGCAGCAAAUAACGCGCGCGUCUUAUAUAUAAUUUUUGGCAAGCGCUCACUCCGUUCACAAAAGUGGGUACCCCAAGGGCACACCCUUGGAAGUGAUCACACAUAUAUAAACACUACUAGAGUGUGUGAUCUACCCAAUGUGGGACAUAAAAUUUUCAAUUCACACUUUACACUAGUUUUUCCAUCCUUGUGUUUACAUUCCAAAGGCUUCACAUAACAACUAGUAUACUCCAAGUUUUUGCCAAUAUACACUAGUGUUCCAACAAAGUUUGUGUAAUUAACGCAUUAGAAAUUGAAAACUUUAACUUUUUUUAAAUAAUAAUUACUUAAUUUAUAAUUAGAAUGAUUAAAAAGAGUUUGGAAGCACUCGUUAACAAGACCCAUAAAAAAAUGUGAUAGAAGGGGGGACACAUGUCUAUUAUGGAAUAUGGAUGAUCAAUUAGAUUUAAAGACCGUUAACCAAAAAAAAAAUAUUACUUCUCCUAAAAAAAAUAUUAACUUAAUUUGGCAAUCAAUUAAGGAUAUAAUUAAAGACUGACCAGUCGAAUUAAAGAAAGCCAAAACACAAGAUGAUAAAACAUAAUUUGUAUGAUCAAGGAGGACAAUAUGUUUUCUUAACCUUUUCCUUUUUUCUUUAUAUUUUAUUUCAUGUAGUUAUAUAAAUUUUAUCACCUUAUUACUUUAAUUGCAUGGAACAUGUAUAAAGUUAUUAUUACUUUAAUUCACAUAAGGGGCCUGUGUCAUGACAUAAUAAAUUGUAGUAUCAAUUUAGAGAUUGCACGAUAAUCAUAAGAUAACUAUGUAUAUGUAAAGAUUAGUAAAAAAAGAAAAGUUAAAUAAAAUUUAGGAAUUUUUAAAAAAAUAAAAUAAAGAAAGUUUAGAUGAGUUGGAUUUAGGCUCAACAAAGCUAAAUCAUCAAGAUUCAAAGAACGUUAACAGAGGAAUUUGUAGAUUAUACAUGUAUAUAUAUAAAUUUCUGAUGGUGCCACAAUUGAGAUUUUUACAUCAACAAUAUGAAUUGAACUCACGACUGAACUAACCCCUUAGCAAUUGCAUAAACCUAUGUUUUUUAAAUUUUUGCGAAUUAUUAGAAGGAAAACUUUAAAUCCAUAUUUUAAAAAGAAAGCUGCAUUAUUAACUUUUAUUUAUCGUAUUUUAAAGAUUGGGGAUGACAAUGUAGCCGGCUGACAGAAGAGCAGAUAAUAAUAUAAUGGAAAUGGAAGACAAAGUCAAUUUACAAAACAAAAAUGCAAUCAAGGGUGGUGGAGCCAAUUCAGUUCUGCGUGAGGGACCUUAUGUACGUUUGAUCAAUAAUCUAGUUAUCUAUCAUUGUAAAGCAUUUAAGGCAUGUCUGUUAUGUUGUAUAUCCAUGGAUACUCACACAAGUUUCUCAUCAAAUAUUGAAUAGUUGAAAGGAAAAGAGUAGAGAGUUAGUAUAAAUAUAAAGAGUUAUAUUAAGCGUAUGUUUGAUUCUGCAUCAUAAUGAUUAAAAGUGAGUGUUUGGAUACGUUUGUGUGAAAAUGAAUUAAAUUAUAAAUUUGUAUGUAAAAAACAAUUUUGAUUCAAAAGCAAUAAAUACCUGUAAAAAAGAAGUCACAAAUCUUAUCUUCAAUUAGAAUCAAUUAUAAAGAUAAGAUCGCGAUUCUACGAAAAAAUAAUUAAACAUGUCAUAAUUAAUUAUACACCUACAAGAUCAAUCUUAGCAACUCUAAAAGAAGAAUCAUACAUAGACUAGUCUUUUUUUUUGUAACAAAAAAAAAAGACUAGUCUUUUCACCUCAACAACCGUAAUCUUUGUUGGUGUAGAUAGUUGUGUUUUUUGAGAGUUUGCAAUUUUAUUUUAUUUUUGCAAGAAUUUUAAUUGAUAGGGUUUGCAAUUUUCUGUAUGUAAAAAUUACGCACUAAAUAAUAAAUUUUAUUCUGACUUGCUUUUUGGUUAUUUUUGUUUCUCAUGUGUAGACAUUUUCUAGAUGCUUUUCAACAACUUGAAUUAGAGCAAAUGUUCCGAUAAAGGGAGGAAUAAAAGUUGCAUUGCACCAUUCAUUUAAAUUGAGAUUAAUUAUCAUCUUAUUCGUGUAUUUUCUUAUAUAAUUUUAUGGUUACAUUGAAGUUAUAAGUUUCUUUGUUUGUUUUAUGAACCUCUCCUCAUAACAACGCACAAUCCAAGAUUAUUUAGUCCAACAAGAUCUUGAUUGUUCUCUAAAAAAAAAACAAGUGAGAUGAAAGAAUCAUAGUGGAGUAUAAUAAAAAAAUGUUAAAUAUGUUAUUGGUCCCUAUAAAUAUACCAACUUUUUGUUUUAGUCUCUCUAAAAUUUUCCUUCAACUUUUAGUCCCUAACAAAUUUUCCAUCUUCACUUUUGGUUCCUCUUUUAAAGUAAACUCAUAUGUAGAAUUCAUAUUUUUGAAUCAAAUUUUCCAGAAAAAUUCAUAAUAUUAUAAGAAUCUCUUCAAAAAAAAAAAAAGAAUUUUUUAACAAAACAUGAAUUUAAUAUGAAUUUUUACAUUAUUUAUGGUUAAAAAUUCAUUUCUGUACAAUUUCAUUAAAAAAUACUAAAAUUUACUUUGAAGGACCAAAAGUAGUGACUCAAAAUUUUAUAGGGACUAAAAAUUGAAGAAAAAUUUUAGAGGGACUAAAACGAAAAGUUUGUAUAUUUAUAGGGACCAAAAACAUAUUUAACCUUAAAAAAAUUACAAAAAGAAACUUCUCUAGAGAAGUUGUGGGAUUUGUUAAAAUUCAAAUUUGUGUCAACAACCAUUCAAUUAUUUUCGCAAUUAAACUUAUGAAUUUACAUCACAUAUUUAAAUCUAUUGUUAUCUAAGAGCAUGUUUGGCCCUCCUUAUUUUCUACUUAUUUUUUAUUUUUAAGGAGAAGUAGGGCCAAACACAAUUUUAAAAAAGCUCUUAUCAAAAGAAGUCUCUUAAUUGUAUAGAAGAAUAUUAUGUAGAAGUGACUUUUCAAAUAAGUUGUAGAAACGAACUUUACAACAAUUUACACGGAGGUUAGGCAACGGUGGUUCACCCAUCGAUUUCCACAUGGGACACUUUUUAUUUUAUUUUAUUAUUUCUUGUGUAAAUCACCCACACCAGAUUCCUUUUAUUUAUUUUAUUUUGUUGAAAGUUCUUCUUUUUUUUAACAUUUUGGUUACGUUCUUUUAUUUUUUGUUUACCUACAUAUUUACAAUAUUUUUUUGUACGUAAAUAUAUAGAGAUAAAAUAUUAAUGAUAGGUAGUUUGACAGUGUUUAAAAAAAAGGUAGUUUGACAGUAUAUUUUUAUGAUAAAUAUAAUAUAUAGAGAUAAUAUAAUAUGAUAAAUAAUAUUUUUAUAAAAAUAAAAAGUCCUAAGAGUAGAAAAACAAAUGACUCACUAUUGAUCAAAUGAAUUGGUUUUUUCUUUUGAAAGGAAAUGAAUUGGUUAAAAUACUUUUUUUUUUAACAAAUGGUUAAAAUACUUUUAGGAUUAUAAUUUUAUAUAUUUAGAUUUAUUUAUGAAUGUUGUUCUUAUUUAGUAUUAAUUUAAUUAUAUGUACUCAAUUAAAACAUUAGUUUGAUAUUAAGAAAAUGGAUUUUAUUUUAUUUAUGAUAAUUUAUAGUAAAAUCUCAGCUCUUUUAGAAAUAUUUACCAAACAGUUUUUAACUUAAAAGUAUUAAUAAAAUUAAAAAAAAAAAACAAAUAACAAACAACUUUAACUUUCACUUUUAAGUUCUAAUUUUUAACUUUAUUCUUAAAGUAACUUUUAGACCUCGAAAAAGUAGGCCAAACGCACCCUAAGUCAAACUCUCUAAUAUUUUGUUAAAUAUUAAAAUGAAGUUUAUUCUCGUUGAUUUAUUAAUUCAUUAGUGUAUUGAAACACAAAUGAGAUUACUCGUUUAUCUACAUUAAUAUGAAAUAGACUUUUUAACAGACUAACAAAUUAUACGACAGCUAAAAGGUCAAAUCUAUAUAAUAUAUCUAUGAAAGGUUAUAAUUCAAAUUUAGAUAUAAACUUUUUGACAUACAAAACUUAAUUAGGUCAUAUAAAGACGAACUCGGUUGAGUUUAUUCCCACCUUUAGUUGUGGUCAAAUGUUUUUUUUUUUACUAGCGUAAAUGUGCACGGAUGCUCGUUAUAGCUUUAGAGGAAAAAUCGGCUUCAUGCGUUUCUCUAUUUUUAUUCUUUUUUAUUUAGGAGAAUGAUUCCCUGUUCAUAAUUCCUUGACUUUCUCAAAAUUAAGACAUCUAUCAGACUAAUAAUAAAAUCAACUUUUGAUGCAUAGAACUUCACACACCCGGUAAGCUGUCACAAUAGAAAGAACUAAUGUAAUAAUUUGAUUUGAUAAAUAGGACUUCACGUGUUUUUACGCUCAUUCCGUCCUAAAUUAAAUGAUAUUUUGGUAAUUUUACAGAAAUUAAUAAUUUUCAUUAAUGCUAUAUGGGAAAGAGAAAACAUAAAUAAUUUUAUAAAAUUAUCUUUCAUUAACGGUGCAAGAAAGAUAAAUUAAAGAAUAGAAAAAAGUGAAAAUAAUAAAUAGUUGAAAGUAUAAUCUAAAAAGUAAUAUUUAAUGUUGCAUUGAUAUUAUAAAUCAACAUAUAAUUUAUGAUAAAUAUUUUUGACAAAACGACAUAUAAUUAGAUAUGGAGGAAAUAAUAAAUAGUUUCAGCCAUUAAUUUACGACCAAAUAGCCCCGAUUAUAUAUAUUCACAAAUUUAGGAUUGAAUUAUUAUGUAUCGUAAACAAAAAAAUAAUUUUACACACGCAUGCAUUUAAAUGUUCAAAACACAUUAGUUGUUAAAUUCAUUAAUCGACAUAAUAAAACUUUAUUAAAUGGAUGUGUAAAAUAGUGUUACAUUGUUAGUGUAUAGAAAUUAAACUCUUAAAUCUAUUAGUGAAGUAUGAUGAAACAAAAAUUUAGAGGUUGUUUUUUCAUAAAUAUUUGCUGAUUGAAUUGGAUGAAUUAAAUUUUGUCAUACAAUAAUGAACAAUAUAAUAUUCAAAAAUCAAAAGAAACGAUAAGAGAAACGACAAAAUAACAAAACAGUGACGAAUGGGUUGAUAUUAACCAGAUGCAGUUUAUAUGGACAAGAUAAGGAGCAAAUUUAUAAGGGUGUUCCCGGAAUAGAAUAUUCAAACCGCAAAGAUAGAAUUUAUCAACAAAAAAGAAAAAACCUUAAACUCAAAGAAAGAAGAAUUAUAAGAAAAGGAAAUAGGAUGCUUCCUAGUAGCAUCAUCGUAGCGCCACAGUAGAAAGACGCACACUCACUCAUUAUUCAUUCACAUUUCUUUUCUCUAUAUAUACCCUUUUUCUACUCAACUUAGACAAACACCAUCUUCUCUUUUCUCUUCUCUUCUCUUCUCUUCUCUCUUCAUAAUAAUUCAGCAACUUUUUACUUUUUCUAAUAAAAACAAUUUCAAUUCAAGUAACAAAUACUCAUGGCUAAUUUUGAAGAAGCUUCAGCUCUAAAACGCAUCAAAAUGCAUCUUCUUGGUGAAUUUUCUCCACUUCCAUCUCCUAUUUCAACACCUUGCUUUGAUUUUGAUUUUGAUUUUGAAUUUCAAACAAUCCCAAACAUAUCUCAAUCUGAAUCAAACUCUUCCACUUCUGAUUCAUCAAUCUCUUUGGAUCAUUAUUUAACUAACCUCCUUGAAACAGAUACACAAAUUCCUCUGUUUGAAUUUGACACAAAACCUCAAUUAAUGGAACAUGAGAGCCCUAAAGCUCUAACAUCAUCUCAUCAUGUUAAUCAACCUCAACGAACAGUAGAGAAGAAGCCUAAACUGAGCCGAAAACCAUCGCUGGAAAUCGCUCUACCGAAGAAGACUGAGUGGAUCCAAUUCGGUAAACCUGAUCCAAAACCGGAGGUGGUUGUUCAGAAACCGGAAGUUGCUGAGAAACAACACUACAGAGGUGUUAGACAAAGACCAUGGGGAAAAUUCGCCGCGGAGAUCCGUGACCCGAACAAAAGAGGUUCAAGAGUUUGGCUUGGAACCUUUGAAACUGCUAUCGAAGCAGCUAAAGCCUACGAUUCAGCUGCUUUCAGGCUGCGUGGCUCCAAAGCGAUUCUCAACUUUCCACUUGAAGUCAACGCAGUCGCAGCAUCGGCGGAAACCACCGUGGAAGGCAAUAAGAAACGGUGCCGUGAAGAAGAAGAAGAAGAAGAGGAAGAGGUGGUAGAAGUAAAACCGGUGGUGAAAAAGGAAAAAAUAACGGAAUAUGAUAUGAACUGUUUUAAAGAGAUGCCGUUAACGCCGUCUUUUUGGACUGGUUUAUGGGACGGUGAUGUCAAGGGUUUGGUCAGCGUUCCACCGCUGUCGCCGUUACCUUCCUUUUGUUUGUCACCUUUAGUUGUUGUGUGAAAUUUCUAUUCUAAGGUUCCUUGCAUCCUGAUAAAUUAGAGAUGUGAAUUUGUACAAAUUCAUGAAAUGAUUUCAUUUAUUCACUAAAUGUUUCUUUGGAUAUACUUGACUAUUUUAUAUUUUUAUUUUUAGAUUGCUAGUAUCGAAAAAGAGUUGAGACAAAGAGUUUAAAUUCUAAAUAAAAUUGUUAGGAUGCCUUUUAUUAGCAAAAUAAUAAGUAUCAGACGGAACAUGCUUAAGAAAAAAGUAUUAGGUAGAACAGUGUUAGACAAAACAGAAUAAUACAAGUUAAACAUAAAAUUGAAUAACAAAUAUAGAGAUUAUAUUUUUAUUUUUAAGAAAUAAAAAUGGAUUUAGUGAGGAACAUGGAUUCAUGUAUUUAUUCAAUCCGUUGCUACGUGUUUUGUUCGGUCUCGUGAUCAAUUUCUAACUCAAACACAAUAAAAAUUUGUCUGGUAAAUCAUAUGUUUUUAGUCAAUUAAAUGCACCCUUAAUGAAUUGAAUUUGUACAAAGCUGUGAGUAUUUUCAUGAAUUUUAUCACAAAGUCUCUUUGUCUUAGGAUUGUUGGAUAAGUCUAAAUGACAUAAUCCUAAUCAAGCUAAGCUCUAAGCCUUAAUCUUAUGUAACCCUAAUUUCUUAUCUAAAUUCACCGCUUUAACAUGAAUCAACCAUUAUCAAACUGUGGAAACGAAAAUGGAGGGUUUGAUAAUUGUUUAUCCAUCAUCUCAAAUAUCAAUUCAUAAAACGAAAGUGGAGCUUUGAUAUUCGAACAAGUGAAUUUAGACAAGGAUUGCAAAGGCAGCGAAAUAGUCUUUGCAAUCUUUGAGAUAUAUAGUUUCGAUCUUCAAGGGAACUAAUAAUGAUCAAGUCAGCGAAAUAGGUUUGGUUGUUAGAGGAACCAAAGUCUAAUAGUAAUCAAGUCAGCGAAAUAGGCUUGGUUGCUAGAGGAACAAAAGAGAAACUGUCUUGAGAAAUUAGGUCUAACAUAAAGUUAUAAGCUUAUAGUUUGGUUUGCGAAGGACUUGUUAUUUAGAUGAACCAAUGAUCCCAAGGCUCCUUUUAUAUUAUUAUCUUUCAAUCGUUGAAAACCCCAACUUACAACUUGUUUCUCCUCUAAUCACCAUCAAAGGUUAAUUGAAUUAAACUACUCCCUGUCGGAACGAUACUCUUUUCAUACUACUUCGGUAAGACUGUGCACUUGCGGUUUUAUCUCAUCAGAAAUCACAUAAAAUCUUCUUUGUCGAUGUAUGCAGGAACAAGAAAAUUCAAUAGCAGUAACAAGAUGAGAGAGAUGAAGGGAAGUGAAAUAUAUGGUAGAGAGUUUUAUGUGUUGAUGAAAAUGAUUUGAUUUUGAUGAUGAGAAUUUUAUUUUAUUUUAUCUUUUGAUUUUUUUCUGGGUUAUAUGAAAAUUGACUAAGGAGUAUGAAUGUGUUGAUGAAGGAAUGUGUUGAUGAAGGAAAAAGAAGAAAUAAGAAGAAGAAAAAUUAGGUGUUGAUAGUUCAUCGUAAGAUACAACAUACUUAUAUGAUCAAACGGUUCUCUUUUUGAAAAAAAUAUCGAAUGGUUAAAAUUAAAUGAAUUUAUAAGGUUUAUGGUGGACCACCUUAGACAUUUGAUGUUAAAAAUUAAUGGAGAGGAUCAAAACGGUAAACGAAAAAAUAUUUAUGAGACCAAUUGAAAUAUUUUAUAGUCAAGGGACCAAAGUAAAAACCAAAAGUAAGUUAAAGGACUAAAUUAUGAAUUAUCUAUAACCGACUGUGUCAUAAAACCUACUACUAUAGAAAUUUUUGUUGCUUCUAUUUUCCUCUAUUCCCCUUUAAACUUAUCUCCCAAUCAAAUUCUUAAGGAGUGACACACCACCUCUAUCGUGCAGUACUUGUAAUAAUGUUGUAUAUUUUUAUUUUAUUUUGGAGUGGUUCGUUCAUUAUUGUUCUUGUAUAUAAGUAAAAUUGUGAAAAUAAGUAAAAGACAAACCUAUCGCUAUGACCCCUCAAAAAGAAAAGGCAAACCUAUGACAUCAACGCAAUUGCAUCGUGACGUGCAAUAAUAUAGUAAUGGAAAAAAAAAGUUAGGUAAAUCAAACGUAUGUCUUCCCUUAUUUUAAAAGUUUAUUAGAUCAAGCAAAUUCAAAUUAUAAUUACUCGUGAGCUUAAGUCAGUUGAUUAAAACAAUGCAUAAAAUAUACAAGAUUUAGAUUUAAACUCCGGUCACUACUAAAAAAAUCCAAAUUAUAAAUUUUUUCCUUUCAUUUUGAUACAUUAAUAAUUGGUUAGUUAUUUCAACGUAACCAAAAAAAAUUUCCUCUCAAUUUGCUUCACUACAUCCUGCUACCAUUUGAUUUUAAAUUUAGAUUUUUAUACCUCACUAAGCUUGCAGUAAAUAAUGCCCUCCCAUCAUCCCUUAUGAAACGCCAUUCAUAAUGCAUCUAGCAAAUCCUAAAAUCUAAUUUUUUUUCCUCCCAUUUUGAAGCAUUAGAUGAUUCGUUAGUUCUUUCUAUGGAACCAUUUUUUUUCUCUUUCAUUUUUACUUCAUUAUUGCAAUCAUUUUAUUUUGAAUUUUGAUUCCCCCGUUAUUUCACUUGCAAAAUAAAUAAUGUCCUUUACCCCCACCCUCCUCCUCCUCCUCCAAUAAAAAGCCAUUCAUAACGGCUCUCACAAAAUCAUUUUGUAUUUUACUUAGAUUUUUGUUUUUAAUAGGACCAAAUAGGUUUAUGUGAAGAAAUUUGAGAGAUUUUUGAGUCGAAACAACAACUGUUGAUUUAAAACUACUUUUAACUUAUUUUUCGCUUGUACAUGUUUCACAUAUUCUAUCUUUAUCAAACAAACAAAAAAUUGGAAGACCUCUUACUAACUCAAGCUGUGAUAUUUUUGAAAUCAAUUUCAUAUUUACAUAAUCGGCUCUUUUGUGUCAAAUUCAUUUAUCUUUUUCAAAUGACAUGAAAAAUGAUUCAGAUGUGAUGUGAUGUGGGUAACUCUCGAUCUUGGGUGAGUUAUCCUCGGCCUGCAUGGGCGUGGGUAACUCCCGAACCUCGUGAGCCACCCUUGGUCUGUACUAUGAUCCGAUGAGUUUUAGGUGUGUCUAUCGUAUGAUGUCGUCUUCUUAAAGACUCAGGUCGGAUCUGAGGGGAGCUAGAUUGGGCUUUAGGCCAGUUCGAAACAGUAGCCCCCCAGGCUAUAGGCUGAGGGAAUCAUAUUGUAGUUUGAUAUAAGCUCUCUAUUUGGAGUCUGUCUUAGAGGUCAGAGACUGCAUCUGUUGUUGUGACUUUGGGCUUUUACGAGCUUCGCCAGACUUUGGAGUUUCCUUGCGAGGUUUUCAGAAUUACCGAGACGUGGCUUAAUGUCGUCUAGUAUGGGGUCUCUCAUGUUUGCUCCACACUGAGCGUAUCAUUAUAAUACAUCACUAUAAAUACGGGUCUCUCUCACAUUUAUGAUCACUUCACCGACUCACUUUGCAACCUGCUAACAUCCAAACUUACUUGUGUAACGCCCUAGUUGUUAUUAAUUAUUUUUCAAUUUAUUUUAGAGUCUUUUGUAUGAUUUUAAUAUGAAUUAUGUUGAUUGGUGUGUGCUAUAUUUUAUUAUAUGAUUUAUUAUGAUAUUUAUUAAAAUAAUGUGAGAAUUAUUGUUAUUUUGAAAAUUGGGGAGUUAAUUAGAAUUUAAUUGAAUUUAGUGGGAAUAAAGUGUAAUUAAAGGGAGUUAUAGGGAGUUAGGAAAUAGAAAGGAAGUUAAGUUAAGAGUUAGAAAGACAGAAAACUGUCUGUACGUACAAUUGAACCUUUGGGAAGAAAACAGAGAAAACCAAGCCAAGGGGAGAACAAGAGCAAGAGGGGAUCGAUUUUUGCUGUAGCUUUGUUUGUGCAAUUGAAUUCAGGUAAGGGUGAGGUUUGCUUCAGUAGUGUAGAUGUUAAUCUCUGGUUUUGAAUUUAUCAGGUUUUGGUGAGAAUGGGAAAAGAUGGGUUUUUGAUUUUGAUUUCUAAAUUAGAAAUGUAUAGGAACCAUGUUAUUUUAGACUUAGUUGUGUUCUGGGCGAUUCUAGGAUUACAUAACAUUACUGUAACCUGUUUUGGGGUUUGGAUUGGGAAAAAUUGGGAUUUUUAAUGAAAAACUACAAAAUUCACGAUUCUGGAACUGUCACGACUGGCCCUGGCGAAGCCAUUUUCGCCAUUCCCUCGCCAUUGGUUCACCCUGGCGAAUGUGUCCAGAAAUUUUUCCCGAGAACACUGCCUUAGUUCGCCAUUCCAUCGCCUUUUGUUCGCCCUGGCGAAAGUGCCCAGGAGCUUUUCGUCUUACGCUCGCCAUGGCGAGUAGCCUUUUUGUUGAAUUUCGCCUGGCGAAAGUACCCAGAACUGAAUCAUAAUUUUUGGGUUUUGUAUACUCAGUUGUACGCAUUGUUUGGUUGAUUCUUUUGACUGUGCUAAUGGUUAUAUAUGACUAUAUUAUUUAUCGAGAGUAUGAUUAAAUGUUGAGUGAUGAUUUAUGUAUAUUUACACUUAAAUAAAUUAUACAAAUUGUUGGUGCUGUUCUGAAGUAUGUUGUGUUUGCUAAACCAUACAUGUCGUUUUAUUCCGGAGUCAUAUGAGAAUGUAUGCAUGGUCAAGUUGUAUGUAGAUAUACACAAGUGGGUCCAUUGCAUAUGCAUAACAGCGGGAAGACUCAUGUCCUGGAACACUAGUUGUUCACAGCGGUGAGGGCUUUGGUCAUGAUGAAUGCUUUAACCAUUCAAAAGUGGUGAGGGCUUCGGUCCAGUUUUGGUACCACAUGCAUAAUUGCAUUUAUUGAGGGGUCUUAGUGGUGUCGUUAUGUCAUGCAUGAGUCUUUGUUGUUGGUUGUAAUUGCCAUAUUGAUGAUGAUGAUGAUGUUGAUGAUGAAUAUAUAUCUAUGUAUAUAUUAUGAUGAAUUGAUUUUGAAGAUGAUGUAUUGAUGUUUAAUAGGGUGUUAGAUUCAAUUGAUGAUUUUAAUAUCUAUAUUUUAUUGUUGUAAAUCUCACCCCUUCUGCUUGAAAAUGUUGCCCUUCCUAUGGGUAACUUGCAGGUGAUUCUGAGUAGUAGGUGGCGGCUCAAUGUCUAGGACUCUGAUACGUCUGGGAUGGGGUCUUUAUGUUUAUGUUUAUUCUUAUGCAUCGAAUUUUGGAUUAAGCUGAUGUAGCUCUUUUGUUAUUGUUGAACAAACUUAAUUCUUUGGAUUAUGUUGAUGAUGAAUUUUAACGUUGAAAAUAUUCCGCUGCAAAUUGAUGUUGGUUUAUUAAAUAGUUUUAUUUUCUAUUUAAGAAAUUUUGAAAUGUAGUGUAGCAUGCCCGUUUGAUGAAUUACUCUGAUGAAUAUUUUGUAUUAAAUUACUUUUGGGUAACGGGGUGUUACAACUUGGACAUCAGAGUGCCUUUUGCAUGAACAUCUCCCCCUCUUCCUCGUUCAAUGACGAGGCUUACGACCAACCGUGGUGGACCAGAUCCUUAAUAAGAUCAAACUUUAUACUAAGAGGCUAGCUCAACUUGUUUAACCUAAACAAUUACAAUAGAAAAUUUAAAAACUAACCAUAUUUUAGUUAGACAUUUUUCUUCUACAAUUUUUUUCUUAAUAAUCUAAUCCAUUAUUUAAAAUUUAAAUUUUGAGACACGUAAAAUGAAUUAAAUUAAAUUUAUAUUUUAUAAUAUAAGCAUAUACAUUUAAAUACAAAAAAAAAAUGUGAAUAAAUGUGUCAUCUUUCGCUAUAAGUAAGUGUGUUUUUAAAAGUAUUUACAAAAACACAUGAUGAACAAAAUAGUAAUAUGCAUUAAUCAAAAGGACCGCCAUUUGUUUUUAUUUUUAUUUUUUUAAAGAAAAAGGACCGCCAUCUAAAGACAACAAAAUGGACAAGAUUUAGAAGUAGACAUGGUCACAUGGACAAAAUGAGGAGCAAACUACAAAGGUGUUCCCUAUCGUAGAAGAUUGAAAUUUCAAAUUGCAAAGAAAAGUAAUUAGGAUGCUUCCUAGUAGCAUCGUAGAACCACAGUUGAAAGUCGCACUCUCACUCAUUAAUUCAACAUUUUCCGCUCUAUAUAUAUCCUUUUUUCCACUCAAAUUAGACAACACACAAUCUCAUCCUCUCUUCUUAUCUUCUUCUUCUUCUUCUUCUUCAACAACUUUUUACUUCUUCCUAAUCAUUUUCUUUUAAAAACAAUUUCAAUUCAAGUAACAAAUACAAAUACUCAUGGCUAACUUUGAAGAAGUUUCAGCUCUUAAACGUAUCAAAUUCCAUCUUCUCGGUGAAUUUUCUCCACUUCCAUCUCCUAUUUCAACACCUUGCUUUGAUUUUGAUUUUGAUUUUGAAUUUCAAACCAACCAAACAGCAUCUCAAUCAGAAUCCAAUUCCUCCACUUCAAUCUCUAUGAAUCAAUAUUUCACUAACCUCCUUGAAACAGAUGCACAAAUUCCACUGUUUGAAUUUGACACAAAACCUCAAAUGAUGGAACAUGAGAGCCCUAAAGCUCUAACAUCAUCUCAUCCUUUUAGCCAAUCUCAACGAACCACAGAGAAGAAGCCUAAACUGGCUCGAAAACCCUCGCUAGAAAUCGCUCUACCGAAGAAAACUGAAUGGAUCCAAUUCAGUAAAC